CAUUAUUAGGUAAUGUCCAAUUAAAUCCAUGCAACAAAUUAGCCAAACUUGUUUGAAUCACCUUAAUACCAAGAGGGUAACCAGGACACAUCCUUCUACCAGCACCAAAUGGUAACAACUCAAAAUCAUGUCCUUUUACAUCUAUAUCUUUACCAAGAAACCUCUCAGGCAUAAAUUCAUAUGGAUUCUCCCAAACCUCAGAAUCUCUUGCAAUUGUCCAAGUAUUGACAAGAACUAUAGUCCCUUUGGGAAUAUCGUAACCAUCAACUUUGCAAUCCUCUCUAGCUUCUCGUGGCACUAAAAAUGGUGCCACGGGAUGUAGCCUCAUUGUUUCUUUAGCAAUUGCGUAAACAUAAGGUAAAUUCGCAAUGUCUUUCUCUUCAACCCAUCUAUCUUUUCCUAUCACUCUAUCUAGCUCCUCGGUUGCUUUCUUGAAGAUCUCUGGUUUUCUAACCAGCUCGGAGAUUGCCCAUUCUACUGUUACUGCGGAGCUCUCCGUCCCUCCGGCAAUUAAGUCCUGAGGAAAAAAAAUACAUAACAAAUAAGUUAGCACAUGAAAAAAUUUAAAUCGUUAAAAUGUGUCAGGUCGGACCAACCCAUUUAACAAGAGCAAAAUUUAGAGUUGUAUAUGCUAGUAAUUUUCGUCUGUCUUCUAAAACUAAUUUGUGUAUCUCUUAAAUCGAUGGAUUCAUUGAGCUAGCACAACAAAACAUACUUAAUUAGGUUAAACUUGGCACCACUUGUAUAAUUAGUAAAUAAAAAAUAUACAGACAUAAGGGUAACAAAUGUGGCAAGAUAAGAGCAAGUUAAUUUAGUUAGCCCCACGAAUACAAUAUAUUGAAUAAAUAAGUGAUAUUUGGAGCUAUCAAGCAAAACUGGAAUUGCGUUAAACAGUUAAUCUCUAAAUUAUGGUUUGGAUUUUUGUUUUAGAAAUAUGACUUUUCAACUUCCCAUCAUUUCCACGAAGAUGCAAGCAUCAAUUGGACCACCCACCCAUGCACUAAGGAUAAUAAUUUCUAUUUUGAAAAAUUGACAUGAUAUUUAUUUAAUACUUAAUAGUAUUAUUUAGGUGGAUUGUCUAAUCAUUGAAAAAAGUAAUUUCAUAAUUAAACAAAGGAGUAUUCUCAAUCAUAAACGUAACCACCUAAAAGAAAAUACCACACCAAAAAAGAACUAAAGAAAAUAAAAGAUUCAAUCACUUCAUACCUGAGUAAAAGCUUUGACUCCAUGCCUCUCCAGUUUGACUUCAAGAUUAGGAUCCUCAGCAAGCUGCAAAAGUACAUCCACCAUAUCUUUAGCAACAUAAUCCUUCACAUUUUUCCUUCUUUCAAUGUGUUCUUCCAAUACAUGUUCCAUAAACCUAUCAAACUUUUUACUCAAAGUCUUCAUCCUCUUCACAUAACCUUGCAAGUCUAAGAAAUGAAUCCAAGGAAUAAAAUCCCCAAUAUUGAGAAUUCCAUUAAGUAAAAACAACUCAUCCAACAUCUUCUUAAACUCAUCAGGGGAAAUAACUGCAUUAUCAGUCUUUUCCAAGUACUUUUUCCCUAGCACCAUUCGACUUAUAACAUUUAGACUCAAAGUUGAAAGAUGGUCUUUCACCAAAAUUGUUUUGUUUUUUGAAUUGAAAAGUUUAUGCAAAAAAUCAUGCAUCUCUUGUUUUCUUAUGUACUCGUAAGACUCGAGGCGUUUUGCACUAAACAACUCCAAUAGACACAUUCUACGAGCUUGACGCCAAUAUGGACCAUAUUGAGACCAAGUUAUGUCUGAAUAGUUAUAUGUUGUGUAUUUUCCAGCCGACAAUUUGGGCCGGCCGGCAAGAGUAGCAUCAUGGGUUUUGAGGAAUGAUUUGGCUAGUUCUACGGUGGCGCCCACAAUGACGGGUUUCGAGCCGAAAUAUAGAUGCAUGAUGGGUCCAUAUUUUUGAGUGAGGCCAUGGAGGGAUUGAUGUGGGAGGGAUCCGAUAAGGUUGAGAUUUCCAAUUAUAGGCCAUGGUUUUGGGCCUGGUGGUAGAUUGUAUUUGUGGCGGCGGAGGCGGCGGCUGAAGAGGAGGAGGAUGACAAAUGUUGCAAACAAUGUGACCCAACUAGGAAGUUCCAAUAAUUGCACUGGCUCCAUAAUUGGUCGAUUUUGUGACUUUCUUUUGGUGUGAAAUUAGAGAGGGUUAUGUGAGUGAGUUUGAAGGGUGUGUGUGGGUCAUUAUUUAUAUGCAUGUGAUAGUGAGAAAGCAAUAGCUCGAGGACCCACAUGAGGUUCAACAAACUUUCCAUCAAUACACAUGUUUCUUGGUGAUCGGGCAUGUAUAAGGGACUAUUUUUCCACUCACAUGAAUCAAAUAAUACUACUCUAAUCAAUAAACAAAGCUUAACGAAGACUCCAUUCAUACAUAUAAAGUUGUUUUUAUUCGAACUCAUAUUUUUCGGAACGACUCCUUGUUAACAAAAGUUUAUUAAACAACAAUAUUUACUUAAUUAUCUCCAAAUAUUUUUGCCAACAAUCUCCAAAUGUUUUUAUAGGCAAAAUUCAAAUAUAUGUGUUAGUGAAACUCAAUGUUCAAAUUAAGGAAAUUAAAAGUAGACAUGACAACAUGAACCACACUCGCUUGAACCCAUUUGAGUUAGUCUCGACUUUGAUGGAAAAUCCUCCCUUUAAUUGGGCGAGGGUGUGGGAUUUAUCUAUUAUUCUAAAUUAGGGUUAUGAUGUUGAUAUCUUCUUCGGAGCUGUCUCAUUAGUAAAAAGUAUUUUUUCAGAUACAUAUAUUUAUUCAUUUUAUUUAAUAUUUAUUUAAUUAUAUAUUGUAAAUUUUAAUUUCUUCUUGAUAGAAAAUAUAAUUUUAAUAUAAUUUUAUUGUAUAUAUCUAUGUCAGGAAUGCAGUGGUAGAGGGAGGAGUGGCCCCUAAGUUCUAUGGCCACCAUCAUUUAUUUUUGAGAGGACCACCAUAAAAUUUUAAAUUUUACUUUUAACACUCAAGAUAGAUAAACUAUAAAACAUUAUGAGCAUGUAACUUUAAAAGUCCCAAUGGUGCAAUUCAACAAGAGUAUGUUGCCACAUUGCCACCUGUCAAACAAUUAUUUCAGGAAGUAACAAUGCCGCCACAUUGUCGAUCUUUUGUUGAACUCUAGUGUCCUUAAGCUUCAUGUAUUGUUAUAAAAUUAUUUACUUAAACGUAGAAAACAUACAUCAUGUCCACUAACUUAUUCUGAUAAAUAUAAAUUAAUUAGGUAUAACUAACCCAUUCAACCUUAUUUUUACAAUAGUAACUUAUAUUAAAUUUAAGGUCAUCUUGUCCGUUUGCAAGCAGGAUCCUGGCAAAUCGAUAAAACUUUAUUUGUUAAAACAAGAAUAAGUGGGCCCAUCUAAAAUAAUUGAAGAGUAAGUGGAAGACAAUUGACCUGUAUAUUUUGAUCUUUCAAAAAUAAUUUCGAGUUGCCAAACUAAAAUGGACUCACUGCCUAUUGUUUCUUGGAUUGUUGCCAUUGCAAUUUCACAGAAAUUUCAAUAUUGAUUUAUUGACUUAGAAUUUGCAAAGUAGUUUAUUCCAUUGACCUUGACUCUUGACUCUUGAGUCUACAUUCACAUAGUGUAACGGUGUUAUUUCUUGUUCAUACUCGGCGGUCUCAUAAACUUUGUCAUGUUAGGUUGUGUAUAACCCUAACUAAUUACAGUCUCUAAUAUACUAUUUUUUAUUAUGAAUAGCCAAAACUAUGAUUAGAUAAUGCAAAAUAUAGAAGAAUAUAGAUAAAAUAGACAAGAAAUAAGAAUAAAAUAUUUGCUUUAUACUCCUUAAGUCCGGUGUCUCUUUACAAUGCAAUGAGUCCUAUUUUUAAGACAUAAACCUUAUAGGUUACAAGUAAGUGAAAAAUCACAUUGAAGACAAUUAACGAUUAAUAGGUCAUCCACUCAUGAAAAUUCUUGAUCAUACUAGUGGAAGACUAAAGAAAACGGGCAUCCACAAAUACAUAUGUUUAAAACACACCCCUUCAAUGAAACCUGGUACAUACAUAGUACGGGUGUGAGUAAGAUAUGUAUGUUUAAAUAUGUAUAAAAUUUAAAAUUCAAGAUACGAUACACCUAAGAAACAUUAAUGAAUUUUUUAUCUUAAAAUUUAUAUGCAUGUAAAAUAUUUGAAAGAAAUAAGCAUCGAUUAAUCUUCAUUAAUAUAUAAUUAUAAAAUUACAAAUUAUAAAGCGAAACUCAUCAACUUUGCUUUUAACUACCAAAUGUGGUGGCUCAAUCUCUUUUAUGUUUGUGAUUGUUUCUUUGCUUUCUUGUUGGUGAUUUUCACCUAUUCUGAUGUAACAUUACUUUUUCUUUGUUUCUCUCUAGCACUCCUUGUGCAAAGAAAGUAAAGUCAUUUAGUUAUAUGUAAUUCUAUUAUAGCUUCUUAAAAAAAAGGGUAAUUUAAGUUUUUGGUCCCUAUAAAUAUCUGCAGUUUUGUUUUUAAUCCCUAUAAAAAUAAAUCACACUUUUUUAGUCCCUACAACAUUUUCCGUUAGUGUUUUUAGUCCCUGUUAAAUUAAAAUUUGUUUAAUUAUGCUUUAAAUUUUAAAUUUUUUAAUGUUUUUUUACAUAGUUGUUUAAAACAUUAUACAAGGUUCCGCCACAAUAAAUUAGCUCAAAAUUUUAUUUUUAGGUUCAAAUUUUUGUUAGUUUUAUCUUGAAUUUUUGGCGUUUUAAAAAAAUUAUAUUUAAUUUAUUACAUGUUAAAAAAUUCUAAUUUUUUAUAAAAGAGAUUAUUAUAAUGUUCUUAACAUGUCUGUUAAAAAUCAUUUAAAAAUAUAAAAGUUUAAGUAUAAUUAAACAAAUUUCAAUUUAACAGGAACCAACACAUACUUUUAGUCCUUGUAAAAUUAAAAUUUGCUUAAUUGUGCUUAAACUUUUAAAUUUGUAACAUAUAUUUUUCACAUACUUACUUAGAAUAUUAUACAAAGUUUCUCCGCAAAAAAGUAACUUAAAAUUUUAUUAUUAGGUCCAAAUUUUCAUUAAUAUAAUCUUGAAAAUUUGGCUUUUAGAAAAAGGCUAAAAUAUGGUUUUGGUCCCUGCAAAUAUGUCUCGUUUUGGUUUUAGUCCCUGCAAAAAAAGAUUGUUGUUUUUAGUCCCUGCAAAUAUGCCUCAUUUUGGUUUUGGUCCCUGGCUCCACUUUUGUGAUGAUUUGCACACGUGGCACAUGAUGACUGAACCCAUUUAUUAGAGAAAUAGUCUCUGCAAAAUCUUUUGAUUUUGAAAAAGGUCCCUGCAAAAUAUUUUGUUUUUGGAAAUAGGCAGGGACUAUUUCCAAAGACAAAAUAUUUUGCAGGGACCAAAAACAACAAAUUUUUUUUACAGGGACUAAAACCAAAACGAGGCAUAUUUGCAGUGACCAAAACCAUAUUUUAGCCUUAGAAAAAUUUAUAUUUAAUUCAUUACAUGUUAAAAAACUAAUUUGUUUUACAAAAGAGUGUCUUACGAUGUUAUGAACAUGUUUGUAAAAAAUCUUUCAAAAAUUUAGAAGUUUAAGCAUAAUUAAACAAAUUUUAAUUUAACAGGGACUAAAAACACUAACAGAAAAUUUUGUAGGGACUAAAAAGUGUAUUUAUUUUUAUAGGGACUAAAAACAAAACUGCAGAUAUUUAUAGGGAUCAAAAACUUAAUUAAUCCUAUAAGUAUUCGAUAAAAUAUUUUAAAAAUUAAUUUUGAUAUUUCGUAUGCAUGUAUCAGUGAAUAUCCGCAAAGUAUUAAUAUCUAAUAUGGAUAUAUCUCCAUAUUUGAUGUAUUUAGCUUCAUAAAUCUCCCUUAUAUGUCAAUUGCGAAUGUGCAUCGUUAGAAUCUUAAAAAAAAAAAACUCAAUUAAACAAUAAUCUUACUGAAGAAAAAAAAGAGCAGCAUCUACCUCCUCUACAUAAAAACACGUGUCAUUAAAAACCUUACUUGAAAAUUCAAUGAGAAUGUAUGUGUUUCUCCCAAUAUCAACUAUACUGUAAUCUCUUCGAUGACAAAACUGUUAAAAAGACUGUUGUAGUCAGAUGCUUGUAGAGGUUGGUAAUAGUCAGGUUCCUCGACAAGGCACUUUUGAUCAAAACUGUUAAAAAAGAUCAAAGUUUGUACUGUUGAUGGUACGAUGAGACUAGAGCAAAAACAAACAUGUUUCUUGGACCGAACAGUAAAUGGAGUCUGGCAUGACUUUGACAAGUAAUACACCUUCCGUUUUAAAACGAGUAACGUUUAAGAUUUUUAUAUACAAAUUAAGAAAUAUAAUAAUGAUGUUAAAAAAUAUGACAAUUUUACUAAACUAAUACUAUUUACCAUUGGUGCAAGUUUUUGGAAGUAAUGUAUAUUUAAUUAAUUAGAGAGUACAAUUGGAAGUAAAAUAAUAAUUCUACAUUAAAAAGUGUAACUGACAUUCAUUUUAAAAUAAUUUUAUUUCGCUAAAACGAUACUCAUUUUAAAAACUGAGUGAGUGUAAAACAUUUGGAGAGGUGGUUACUAUAAUCGUAGCUUAGUUAGAUGGUUAUAGUGGUUUAAAUUGGAUUAAAUCUUUUAUAGUGGUUUAAAUAUUAAAGAUGGUAGAAUCUCUCUUUUAUAUAGUGGAGAACUUUAGAUAUAACAAUAAUUGAUAGUGAACCAAUGUAAAAAUAUGUUUUCGGUGGCGGAGUCAGAAAAAAAAGUUUGGGUGGGCCACAAAAAUUAUCCGUUGAAAAAUUGUUUAAAGUCUUGCAAAAUAGACAUAUAAUUGAAUUGUUUAAAUUUUUGGGUGGAUCACUACACCACUUUGCGGGAAUUUAGAUUAACCGAAAACUGAUAUAAAAUUUUAUAAAAUCUCGCAAAAUAGACCUAUAAUUGAAUAUUUAAAUUUUUCGGGUGGGUCACUACAUCACUUUUCGGGAAUUUGGAUCAACCGAAAUCUAAAACCGACACAAAAUUGUAUAAAAUCUCGCAAAAUAAACCUAUAAUCGUUGAUUUUUUAAUUUUUCGGAUGGGCCACAACCAUUGUGUUCUUCUUUUCCAUUUCUCUUUUUAUCUUUGUAUUUUUUUUAAUGUCUUUAAAAAUGUUUUUCAUCGAAGUCUUUUAAAUUAAGGAUUAACUGAUAGUUUAAAGAAGAAAAAUAGUCUACACAAUUCAAACUCAUUCAAUGUGUUUUCUAGCACAUUCCCUUCUAUGCAAUAAGGAAUGUCACAUAGUUUUUUUUCUAUCCGUAGUUUCUAAGAAAACAAAUAUAAGAGUACCAAAUGGAUUCCAUCAAAAAACAAAAAACAAGAGAGAACAUAAUAUACUUUUUUUUUAAUAUUACAACUUUUUUUUUUUUGGUGUCCAAGGCUCGAAUCCUGGACCUUACGUAUAUUAUGUAUUGUCCCUUCCAACUGAGUUAAGCUUACGGAGACAAAUAAUAUUACAACUCUGAAAAGGGACUCAUUUUUCUUUGACAAAAUCAAGGGGACUCAUUACUAACUUCAACAUUCAAACACCAAUAUUUUUUAUUCACAGUCAUGCUUGUUUUUUUUCUUGUCAUUAAGUUAAUGACAUUGAACUCACACAAAUCCCAUUAUUCCCAAUCUUAUUAAAGAAAAAUUCUUAGAGGGAGUAAAGAUGAUGAGGAAGUCUAGGCUCCACAACAACUUCUAGUGGUAUUUUCCUAGGAGUAGUCAGCCCAAAAAUCUCCUCCAUAUUCAAAUCCUCUUUCUUCAUAUCAUUAGGUAAUCUCCAAUUAAAUCCAUGCAACAAAUUAGCCAAACUUGAUUGUAUCACCUUAAGACCAAGAGGAUAACCAGGACACAUCCUUCUACCAGUACCAAAUGGCAACAACUCAUAAUCAUGUCCUUUUACAUCUAUAUUAUUACCAAUAAACCUCUCAGGUAUAAACUCAUAUGGAUUGUCCCAAACAUUAGGAUCUCUUCCAAUUGUCCAAGUAUUGACAAGAAUUAGAGUCCCUUUUGGGAUAUCAUAACCAUCAACAUUGCAAUCCUCACUAGCUUCUCUUGGCACUAACAAUGGUGCUGCAGGAUGAAGCCUCAUUGUUUCUUUAGCAAUUGCAAAAACAUAAGGUAAAUUGACAAUGUCUUUCUCUUCAACCCAUCUAUCUCUUCCUAUUACUUUGUCUAGUUCCUCCGUAGCUCUCUUGAUAAUCUCUGGCUUUUUCACAAGCUCGGAGAUUGCCCAUUCUACUGUUACUGUAGAUGUAUCUGUCCCACCUGCUAUUAAGUCCUACGAAAUAGAUAUAUAACAUAUGAUAUUGGUAUAGUCUUGUUUAGAUAAAUAGGUUAAUUGAGCAUCUAUGUAUAUAAGCAUUUAUAAGUGGGGUGCCAUUUAAUUUGGGAAAACACACUUUUUUCCUAUCAUGGGAAAGUUAAACCAAGACCAUAGAUUUAAUACUUUUUAAUUUGGAUGGCUCAUAUUCAUUACCUGUUAACUUUUUGAUGGGUUAUAUAAAACAAAAAUUGUGACCCCACCUCAUAAUUAAAUAACAUUUUCUUUUUUGUAUGUAGUAGUGGGCUUUGGCAAUAAUUUUUGGGCUUGUUAGUAAUGUUUGGGAUCAUACAUAUUAUUAUGUAUAUAAUGAAAAUGUUAACCUUACGUAUAUGGUAUUUAAAUUAGGGAAUAUGUAUUUUUUUUUUUGUUGAUACAAAGAAAAGAAAAUAAUUUUUUUUAUUUGAUUAAUGCUAAAAGGAAUUAUGAACCGAUAAAAAUGAUAGUUUAUUUGUAUGUUUGAAAAAAAACUGAUAAUCGAUUGAUUUUUAAGAAAAUGAUGUGUAAAUAAAAAAAAAACUUGGUGCAUUUUUCUUAAUUAAUAAUGUUAAUUACACAAAAAAGUAAAUCACAAUUUUUUAUUUUGUGGACUAAAUUAAACAGUACACAAUUGUUUUAAAAAAUAUGAGUUUGUUUUAGUCAUUGAACAUAAUAUCUCCUUUUUGUAAUUUGGGACAGGGUUACGGUUUGAAUGAUCAUCUUAGACAAAACCAUUUCGUUUAAGAUUGAGAAGAAUAUUUUUGUAAAUGGUAAUUAAUACAAUAUGGUACUUUUUAGUAACAAAUUAAUUUCAAGAAGAAUAUUUUUGUAAAUGAACGUACCACAUAAUGCCAAUUUUUAGUAACAAAUUAAUUGAGAAGAAUAUUCUUUCAAUCAUGGUUUUUCUUUUAUACAAAAAAUUGUAAAUAUAAUUACUGGUUACAUCGUUGAUUAGGCUGCCGUUAAUAUAAUUGUAAUUUUUGAUAAUCUGUUAAAAUAUAGUCAGUAUUAAUCAAUCAGUUUUGUGGUGUAAUGCGGAAAUGGGGAGGUGCAGUAGUAAGUUUGGAAAGAACAUUAAAAUAAUAAAUUGAGUUUUUUUUGUUUUUUUUUUUUGCAAGUUAAAAACCGACAAGUGUCCUUGGUAAAGAGACUUUCCCAUGGUGGAAAAAAAGUCUUCUUUCUCAAAUUAAAUUGCACCUAUAAGUGGAUAUAUAAAAUAAAGUCAAACUGAUUUCACAUAAACUAUAUAAUGUUAUCAUAAUUAUGGAGUUGUGAAAAUAAGCCCAAAACAACUUAUAAACAUGUCAUAAUUUGUUCUCAUAUAGCUCUUUUAAAAAGUCUCACAUGUGUUUAUAUAAAUAAACUUAAAUAAAUCAAUCCAAAUAGACUUUAAGGUCAAUAUUAUAAAGACCCUAAUUCUAAUAUUUUGAAAGAGCACAAAUUUAUUAAUACAUGAAAUGGUUGAAAAAAUACUAAGAAACUUGUGAAUGCAAUACUUCCCCUGUCCAUAUAACUGUCUUAACAUUUUCCGAAAAAACGGCCUUAUCAUUUAUUAAUUCUUGUAAAAACAGUAAUUUUAAUUGAUGUUUUUCCGCUGUACCUAUCUUUUACAAAUUCCUUUGUACCUUGUACUAUUUCACUUACACAUUAUUUCAUACAGUUUGUGUUUAGGAUAAUGAGAAUGAUUAAUGAACCUGAUUCAAACCGUAACACGAACACUAGAAAAAACCGAAUAAAUAUUAUAGAAAAAUUGUGGGAUCCAUUUAAAAUUUUAGUAAAGUUUACUAUUAAAAUAAAAAUUGAAUGAAUUGCUUCAAAGUUAUGUGCCGAAGUGAACCCACUUAAAACCUAUAAAGGAAAGUCACUAAUGGAAAAUACCCAUAGUGGAAUAGUUAGAGGUUAAUAUACAAUAAAUAAUUAAUAUCAGUAGAAAUGACAAUUAUAUAUGAAACAAAUGAGAUACUUAAAAAACAUAUAAUUAAUAUUUUUUCUAACCUGAGUAAAAGCUUUGACUCCGUGCCUCUCAAGUUUGACUUCAAGACUAGGAUUCUCUGCAAGCUUCAAAAGCACAUCCACCAUAUCUUUAGCAACAUAAUCAUUAACACAUUUCCUUCUUUCAAUGUGUUCCUCCAAUACAUGUUCCAUAAACCAAUCAAACUUCUUACCCAAAGUCUUCAUUCUCUUCACAUAACCUUGCAAGUCUAAGAAAUGAAUCCAAGGAAUAAAAUCCCCAACAUUGAGGACCCCAUUAAGCAAAAACAAUUCAUCUAACAUCUUCUUAAACUCUUCAGGGGAAAUAAUAGCAUUUUCACUCUUCUCCAAAUACUUUUUGCCCAAAACCAUGCGACUUAUAACAUUGAGACUCAAAGUUGAAAGAUGGUCCUUCAACAAAAUUGUUUUGUUUUUUGAAUUAAAUAGUUCGUGCAAGAAAGCAUGUAACUCUUGUUUUCUCAUGUACUCAUAAGACUCAAGGCGUUUUACACUAAACAGUUCUAGCAGACACAUUUUACGAGCUUGUUGCCAAUAUGGGCCAUAUUGGGACCAAGUAAUGUUGGAGUAGUUAUAAGUAGUAUAUUUUCCAGCGGAGAAUUUGGGCCGCCCAGCAAGGACAGCGUCGUUUGUUUUGAGGAAAACUUUGGCUAUUUCUGGGCUCGAUCCCACAAUGACAGGUUUAGAGCCGAACCAUAAAUGCAUGAUGGGUCCAUAUUUUUUAGUGAGCCCGUGGAGGGAUUGAUGUGGAAGUGAUCCAAUAAGAUUGAGAUUUCCUAUUAUGGGCCAUGAUUUUGGGCCAGGUGGUAGAUUGUAUUUACGGCGGUGGAGACGAAGACGGCGGCGGGUAAAGAGAAGAAGGAUGAUAAAUGUUGUAAAAAAAGUAACCCAAUUAGGAAGUGGCAAUAAUUCUACUACCAUUUCUAGUGAGUUUUGUGACUUUGUUUUGGUGUGAGAUUAGAGAGUGACUGUGAUGAAAUUAGAGAGUCAUUUAUUUAUAAUCAUAGUAGAGAAAGCUGUAGAUGAGGAUUACAUGGCCCCGUGAGUAGUGAGGCAAAAUAUCUCCAAUAGAUACACCUCUUUAUAAUCAAAUAUACUUCAUUUUCAAGCUUGUUUAAUUAUUAAACUUUAACGUAUUCAUUUAUUAAAACAAAUGGGUUCAAUCAAUGAGCAAUAAAAUAUACAUUAAUUUCUUAAUUAGGUUUAACUAACCUGUUCAAGCUUUUAUUUUAUUACAACAUGAAAGUUAUCUUGUCGGUUUGCAAACAUUAUCUUGGCAAAUCCAAAAAACUUAGUUGUUAAAAAUCAAGAAUGAGUUGGCUUGUCCAAAAAUAAUAAUUAUUGGAAGGACCACAUUGACCUAUAUAUUCUACUUGGAAGCAGUAGCGUUGCCAGGACCCUAGAUUAAGAGGUUUAAAAUUUUGAACUUUAAAAUUUUAUCUUGAACAUGUAUUUUGCUUUAAUAUUAAUAUCUUAAUAUAUCAAAAUUACAAAUACGUUCAUAAAUAUCUCUUUUAUUCGUCAUUUUAACCAUCAAAUUAGUUUUAGAUAGUCAAUUUUAUCUUAGAAUAUAUUUUGUCAUUGUUCUAUUUAAUCUAUAAAAUUACUAAAAAAAAGAUGCACUAAAGAUGUAUUUGCAAUUUCAAUACUCUUACGAAGUAUGAUAAGAUAAGAGUGUCUCACACAUUUAGGAUCAAAAAAGUUGGUUGUGUAUUUAGAGACAAAAAUAAAAGCUAAAUAUUUAAAGGUAAAUGUAGUAAAAUCAUACUCCCUCCGUCCCAAAUUAUAUGACGUUUUGGGCAUUUCACACAUAUUAAGAAAUGUAAUUAAUAUUGUGUGGGAAAGAGAUAUUAUGAGUUGUUUUACAAAAUUGUCCUCAAUAAAUGAUAUGGGAAAGAUAAAUGAAGGAAUUGAAAGAAGAGAGAGUAAUAAAUAGUUAAGGAUAUAAUAGGAAAAGUAACAUUAAUUUUUCAUUGGUAUUGUAAAGCGACAUACAAUUUGGGACAAAUAUUUUUUCUAAAGUGACAUACAUUUUGGGACGGAGGGAGUAAAAGUUUUUGUGAAAAAUCACCCCUUGUCGUUGGUACGAUAUGCUAGGAUGUUACUCUUACAAUUUUUAUUUGAAUUAUUCGGAAAAUGUUCAAUAAAUAAUUUUGUGUAAUUGUCAUUUGUAAAUAUCAAACAAUAAAUAAAUGAAAUAACAUGAUUCAUACACUGGAAUGAUAGGAGACACCAACAUAAAGCGCCUCCUCAAGAAAAAGAAAAAAGGGAGAUAUUGUUAGAUAGAAAUUUAGAAGGUGUAGGGUUCUUUGACAAAUUUUCAAGGGGUUCAAGUAGUAAUAAAUUGAGAUUAUUGGUUCAAUGUUGAAAUUUUGAGGGUGUGCAAUUGCACCCCUGGAUUAAGUGUGGCUCCGCAAGUGGUUGGGAGGGAAAUUUUAGAGAGUUUUUUGAGGAGGAUUUUGUAGGAUUUGGGUCUAUAUUUUAUUAUAUAUUUUAAAUUUUAAAAAAUUGGAAGACUAAAAUAAUAUAUGAUCACAGGCAGAAAUAUUUUAUAACUUGCUUAAUUUAAAAAAGAAAAACCAAUCCACACGUCCUCCAUUCACCAAAAUCUUCCUCCCAAAUGGGAGUGAAUUCUGUCGAUUGCCCUCCUCAUGUUUCUUUCCACCUUUGAUUUUUUUUUACUUCCUAAAAUCUCUCUUUCUCUCCUUUAAAAUAAAUGAUGGAAAUUUUAAUGGACUUUCAAGUCACAUGAAAUGACUCAUCCCCCUCCCAAACAGACUCCAAUAGUGUGUUUGAUUGUGAGAACAAAUUGAAAAGAGAGAAAGGCGUAAGAAAGAGAGUGUAAAAAAAGAAAGAGCCGAGGAAUAGAGUAAAUUUAAUGUGUGACUUUGUGAAAAUAAAAUUGUAAUGUUAGAUGAAAUUUAAAACAUUGCAAGAAACAUUGUUGGAAAUAUAUUGUAUUAUAGUCUUUAACUCGAUUCUAAUGUUGGAAACAAAAAAUUGUAUUGUUUUGAAAAACCGUCCAAACCAAUCCAAUCCAAACCGCAUUAGUUUGGUUCGAAUUUUAUUUUAAAAGUCAACCGAACCAAACCAAACCGCAUGCAUUUUUAUCAUGCGGUUCAGAUGACUUUUAACCUCAUAACCGAACCAAACCACACAUAAAAAAAUUUCAUCAGCAUUUUUAGUCCUUGUAAAAAAAUUUCGUCAACAUUUUUGGUCCCUAAAAUGCUUAAAAAAAAUGUCACGGAAACUAAAAAAUGAUUUUAUUUUGUAGAGACUAAAAACAAAAUUCUUAUAUUUAUAAAGACCAUUUACUUAAUUAACCUUACAAUUCAAACCCAUUCAUUAUGUUUUCAAGCACCUUCCCUUCUAAGCAAUAAGGAAAAGUCACAUAAGAGUACCAAAUGCAUUCCAUCAAAAAACAAAAAACAAGAGAUAGCAUAAUAUAAUAUACUAUUAUUUAAUAUUACAAACUCUAUAACAACUACAUCCUUCAGUUACUAUUAUAAGCAAAAAUUCAUAUUUUAGGUUCAUUCAAUAAAUGAUGUAUGUGACCUACAUUAUAAAUCACAUACAUCAUUUAUUGAAUGAAUCUAAAAUAUAAAUUUUUGAUGGAAUAUACUAUUGCACUCAUUACUAACCAACUUUCCAACAUCGUAUAUUCUUCAUUAUUACGCUUGCUUUUUUCUUUCUUCUCUUGUCAUGAAGUUAAUAACAUUGAACUCACAAAAAUCCCAUUAUUCCCAAUAUUAUUAGAGAAAAAUACUUAGAGGCAAUAAAGAUGAUACGGAAGUUUAGGCUCCAAAACAACUUCUAAUGGUAUUUUCUUAGGUGUAGUGAGCCCAAAAAUCUCCUCCAUAUUUAAAUCCUCUUUUUUCAUAUCAUUAGGUAAUCUCCAAUUAAAUCCAUGCAACAAGUUAGCCAAACUUGAUUGAACCACCUUAAGACCAAGAGGAUAACCAGGACACAUCCUUCUACCAGCACCUAAUGGCAACAUCUUAUAAUCAUGUCCUUUUAUUAUAUCUAUAUCAUUGUUAAUAAACCUCUCUGGUAUAAAUUCAUAUGGAUUAUCCCAACUAUCAGAAUCUCUUCCAAUUGUCCAAGUAUUGACAAGAAUCAUAGUCCCUUUUGGUAUAUCAUAACCAUCAACAUUGCAAUUCUCAGUAGCUUCUCUUGGCACUAACAUUGGUGUCACAGGAUGAAGCCUCAUUGUUUCUUUAGCAAUUGCAAAAACAUAAGGUAAAUUGACAAUGUCUUUCUCUUCAACCCAUCUAUCUCUCCCUAUUACUCUAUCUAGUUCCUCUGUAGCUCUCUUGAUAAUCUCUGGCCUUUUCACAAGCUCAGAAAUUGCCCAUUCUAUUAUUACAGAAGAGGUAUCUGUCCCACCAGCUAUUAGGUCCUGGGGAAUAGAUGUAUAACAUAUGAUAUUAGUAUAGUCUUGUUUGGAUAAAAAGGUUAAUUGAACAUCUAUUCUAUAUAAGCAUUUAUCAUAUAAGUGUAUGUGUCACAUACACGUGGCUUAAAAUAUUAUAAGUGUACGUGUGCACGUGCAGCACACAUACAUGCGGCUUAAAAUAAAACUAUUUCGUUAAAGGACCAUCUUUCAACUUUUAGUUUCAAUAUUAUUAGUCGCAUGGUGUAUGUGUAUAUAUAAGUCGAGGUGUUUAAAUCCUAAUAUAUCCAAAUUAAAACUGUAAGUUGUUUCAGAAAAUUGAAAACCGCAUAAAAUUGAAUAUUAUAUUAUAUUAUAUUGGAUGUAUUUGAAUGUCUUCUUGUUUCAAAACCAAACCAAAUCAAACCACAUACAAAUAUUUUAAGACUUAUUUUUUUAAUUAAAAUAAUAUAAUGUCUUAAUCAAUUAUUUGUUGACUUUUAAAUCAGUUAUUUAUUAGUUAAUUUUUUUUUUUUAACUAUUUCAUAUCUUUCAAACACAAUUUAUCAUCGUCAUUUCCUAAUAUUAAUUUUUAAUAUACUAUAUGUUAUAUUUUCCAUCAACCUUAUUAUAUUACAAUGUCUUUGUAAUAAUAAAAAAAUUACGGUUCAUAAUUUGGAUAUAAAAAAAAUGAUCCAAAAUAAACUACAUCAAAUUGGAUCAAAUCAGAUUUUUUACAGUAGGUAUUAAAAAUUGAAUUGUGUGUAUUUUAUCUUUGGAUCAUAUGCAUUUUUGUUUCAAAAUUGAUCAAAACUUCACCGCAAACAUCCUUUCAUGCAAGUGAAAAAAAAAUGACUUCUAACUACGACCAUUCACGGGUAUAAAACGGAUAAAUAUGAUAGUAUAUAAAUUAUGAGAUCCAUUUACAAUUUUAUUGGAUUUCACUCUUAGAUUAAAUAUGAAAUGAUUUGCUUUAAGAUGAUGUGACUUAGUGACUCAUUUAAAACCCUUUAAAUGGAGGUCAUCGAAGAAGAUGCUCAUAAUGGAGGUGUUAGAGGUUACUUCCUCCGUCCCACAAUAAGUGAUUCAAUUUGACUAUUUACACUAUUAAUAUAACAUACAUUGAUCAUAGUUUUCUAUUAAUAUAUAAAUACAAAUGGUAGCAUAUAAGAUGUUGUAUGAUUUGUCUCGAUGAAUUUUUUAAAAUUAGUAUCAACUUUUUAUAAUUUUUAUUAAUAUAUAAUCAAAUAUAUUAAAAGUCAAAAUUGUGCAUUGAUAUAUGUAAAACAGUUAACUAGGUCACUCGUUGUGGGAUGAAUGGAGUAAUAUACAAUAAAUGAUUAAUAUACAUAGAAAACGACAAAUUUGUAUGAGACAAAUGAGAUACUUAAAAAAGAGAUAUAGUUUAUCUUUAAUAUCUUCAAUUCUUUAUUAGAAAAUAUUAUGAAAAUUUAAUAUUUUAAAAAUAUUAUUCAUCGAGACGAAUCUAACAACAUCUUAUAUGAUAUUAUUUAUCUUUGUAUAUUAGUAGAAAAAUGUGGUCAAAAUAUGUUAGAUCAAUAGUAUACAUUGUUAAAUACGUUAUCUAUUACGGUACGAAGAGAGUAAUUAAUAUUUUUUUACCUGAGUAAACGCUUUAACUCCAUUCCUCUUAAUUUUGACUUCAAGAUUAGGAUUCUCAGCAAGCUGCAAUAACACAUCCACCAUAUCUUUAGCAACAUAAUCCUUAACAUCUUUCCUUCUUUCAAUGUGCUCCUCCAACACAUGUUCCAUAAACCUAUUAAAUCUCUUACCACAAGCCUUCAUUCUCUUCACAUAACCUUGCAAGUCUAAGAAUUGAAUCCAAGGAAUAAAAUCCCCAAUAUUGAAGACCCCAUUAAGCAAAAACAACUCAUCCAACAUCUCCUUAAACUCUUCAGGGGAAAUAAUAACAUUUUCACUCUUCUCCAAGUAUUUCUUCCCCAACACCAUGCGGCUUAUAAUAUUAAGACUAAAAGUUGAAAGAUGGUCCUUCAACAAAAUAGUUUUAUUUUUUGAAUUGAAGAGUUUAUGCAGAAAAAUAUGUAAUUCUUCUUUUCUCAUGUACUCAUAAGACUCGAGACUUUUUACACUAAACAAUUCCCUUUGAAACAUUUUACGGGCUUGUUGAAAAUAUGGACCGUAUGGGUUCCAAGUGAUGUUAGAGUAGUUAUAAGUUGUGUAUUUUCCGCAGGCAAAUUUGGGUCGUCCGACAAGGACAAUGUCGUUUGUUUUAAGGAAAGCUUUGGCUAUAUCUGGGCUCGAGCCCACAAUGACGAGUUUGGAUCCGAACCAUAGACGCAUGAUGGGGCCAUAUUUUUUAGUGAGCCCAUGGAUGGAUUGAUGUGGGAGGGAUCCGAUAAGGUUCAUAUUUCCUAUUAUAGGCCAUGGUUUUGGUCCUGGUGGUAGAUUGUAUUUGCGGCGAUGGAGACGAAGACGGUGGAUGAAUAGGAGAAGGAUGACAAAUGUUGUACAAAAUGUAACCCAAUUAGGAAGUACAAAUAAUUCUACUAUCAUAUUUGGUGAAUUUUGACUUUGUUUUGGUGUGAGAUUUAGAGGGUUGUGAAUGUGAUGAGAUUUUGAAGGGUGAGUGGGUCCUUUAUUUAUAAUCAUAGUAGAGAAAGCUAUAGCUCAAUAUUUCAUGGCCCCCGUGCAGCGAGACAAAAGAUAUCGAUUAGAAAAAUACACCUUUUAUUUUUUGUUUGUAGAUAGUCGAAAUGACAAAAUAUUAUAAAUUCAUACACAUAAGUGGAGGUACCAGAGUUCGAAUCCCGAUCAUGACGUCCGGUUUAACAAUUUCGGCAUUUUGCCAGUUGAGCUAGGACUUGCGGACGAAAAAUACACCUCUCUAUAAUCAAGCAAACUCUUGUUUAAGCUUGCUUAGUUAUUAAACUUCAACUUGUUUUACUAUUUAAAGAAAUAGGUUCAAUCAAUGAUUAAUUUAAAAGUAAAAUUUAAACUUAAUUAGGUUCAACUUAUUUUUCUUACAACUUGAAAGUUAUCUUGUCGUUUGCAAGCGGGAUCUUGGCAAAUUGAGAAGACUUUAACCGUUAAAAAUCAAGAAUAAGUUGGCCUAUCCACCUCUCAAACAAAAAAGAGUUGACCGAUAAAAAAUAAUAAUAAUAAUAUUAAGUGGAAGACCAUUGACUUAUAUAUUUUUGCUUUUAAAAAGACUUCAAGUAAGGUCGGAGAUAAAUUUUAUUUAUUUUUUCUUGAAAAAAAUACGAUAAUAUUUGAUCAUAUAACAAUUCAAUCACACUUCAUUUUAAUUAAAAAUAUUUUAUAACGAAUCAAACAAUUGAUUCAAAUUGUUAAUGAGUUCCACCAAAGUGCAGAUUAAUAGUCCUCGUGAGUAUAGCUCAGUUGGUUUGGACAAUGCAUAAUAUAUGUAAGGUCUGGGAUUCGAACCCCAUAAAUAUACCCAUUUCAAUUCGCUUAUGAAAAUCUAGCUCCGUUUGUUUUGGACUUUUUUCAAAAAAAAAAAAAAAAAUCUUAAAAAAAUCACUUUUUUCAUUUUUAGGAGUUUGUUUGGGAUUUUUAGAUAAAUCAUUUUAUCAAAAAAAAUCUAUUUUGAUCUUAAAAUGAAAAGCUAUUAGUAGAGUUGUCAAAACGGGCCAGUCCAUUUAGCCCGAAUAAAUAUAGGGCUUGGGCCUAAAAUAUUGAGCCCGAAUUUUAAUAGGGCUUUUUAGCCCGGCCCUUAAAAGCCCGGCACCCGUUAGGGCUAGCUCGAAUGGGCUGCGGGUAGCUCGUUAGCCCGCAUAACAAAAAAAAAAUUCUAUAAAUUAUAUAUAUUUUUCAAAUAAUUAUUUACUUUGUUGAUUAUCAAAGUAAAAAACAAAAGUGAAAAUUCAAUGAAUUAACACAAAUAUAAAUGGAAUAUAAAAUUAUAUUUAUUCAUUUCAUUAUUUAUAGUUUUAAAGAUCGAAUGUAUAAAUAUCUAUAACCAUAACAUAUCUAAUUUAUUUAAAAUCAUUUUCCUCGUCGUUUUAGUUUACGACGUUUGUACGAAAAUGUUUACAAUUUACUUUUGUGCUAGACAUUAUUUAAACAUAUUAAAAAUAUUAUUUAUAAAAAAAUUAUAGCAAUGUUUUAUAGUACUUUUUUAAAAUAAAAAAUAUAUAAUUUUUAAUACGGGCCGGCCGAUUUAGCCUGCAGCCCGUGUAGGGCCGGGCUCGGGUAGUAUAUUUCAAGCCCGUUUUGUCAACCGGACUUUUUAGCCCGGCCCGUUAAAGCCCGAAGUCCGCUAGGGUCGGCCCGUUUAGGGCGGGGCCGCCCGUUUUGACAGCUCUAGCUAUUAGAAUUAGCUUUUCUCAAAGAAAAAUUUCAAAAACAAAGAGGUAACACUUGUAUAUGUUAAAACUCUUUUUUUUUUUUUAAAUGGAUUUUUAUGAAUAGUAGGCAAAAGCAAAAAAUUUCAGAUUUUUUCUUAAAUCUCUAAAAAUUGAUCUCUAGAUUCUUUUGACACAAAAUCUAUUUUUUUUAAAGAUAAAACCCACCUCUAAUCACAUCAUUCCAUAGUGUUACUUUUGUAACAUCUCAAAUGUAACUUGGGAACAAUCUCUAAAAUGCUUACGCAAUGGAAAUAAAUCUUGAAGUAGGAUACUUUCAGAAGAAAUGUAGCAAUUUAAAAUAGAAACUUGAUAAAUGUUUGAAGAACUAGUUUAUAUUCGAAUUAAGUAUUGAACAAUGUUAAAAAUAUAAUUGAAAGUUCAAAAAAUACAACAUGAAAACCCUUUCUUUAGACUCGAGUUGUAAUCCGACAGCUGACGAGUUUUUCUGAACUUUGUCACUUCUUCCAUGAACUAAUACCUAAAAAAGAAACAACAAAAUGGAAUGAGAUAUAUUAUCUCAAGUGAGUUUUCAAAGAGGGAUAAAACUUAAUCUCUCCUUAGAAAAUCCGUAGUUAAAAGCUCAUAUCAAGUAAAUUACUGAUAAAAUACAGGUCAAAUGCAUCUAAAUGUCUUUUAAGUUUUUUGUUUUUUUCAAAUUGGUCCUUUAAAUUUCGAAAGUCCCAAACAAGUCCUUUUAGUUUUUGAAUCGCUUCAAACAAGUCCUUUUAGAGGAUGAUGGUGAUGAUUCAGAUGAUAGCAACAAAGAGCAUUAUCCACCAUUUGUCAAGCCUAUAAAGAUGACUAAUUUUAAGUGGGUGUUAGGAGUCAGAUUUGGUACCAAAGAUGAGUUCAAGGAAGCAAUUACCAACUAUGUUAUCUACAAUGUGAGACUAAAAGGACUUGAGACUUUUGAAACUUAAAGGACCACUUUGGGAAAAACGAAAAACUUAAAGGACCUUUAGAUGCAUUUGAAAGGCUUUCUCAUGCUUUGAAUGCCGGCCAGGUCCACGGCCGUCUAAAUCGACAGAGACCUGUACCUCAUUCUCAGCACCCCUUACAGUAUUGGGCUAUUUCGCCCUAAGCUCGGCGUUCAUCUUUCCGGUCUAGCUCAACGAUGAGCUCUUUAGAUGUUCAGUCUGUUUAGACGGAUAAGACGUUGCAUGUCAUCAUCAUGGGAACCUCAUCAUCGCAGGUAUCCUCGGGUCCCGAAAGAUAUCCUUCUGCAACAAACUAUUCAUAUCUUAGGUUUCAUAAUCUUACUAUAAACAUUCUUAGUUUUUCGACAUGCCACAAAAGAAUGCAAAACCAUAGCAUAAUACACAUGAGUUCCUCAACCAAGGAAAGAACUUUGUCUGGCAGUUAUGAAUUCGUCAACUCUUCAAAAGAGUGGUAAGUACGCCAUAGUUUUUUUGAGCUAAUAAACUAACAAUUGCAUAAGCAAAAAGAUAGAGUAGAAACAUAAAUGAUAAGUUAUGAAAAAUAGACUGAUUUGAUUGAUUAUGUGUCGAAUAAAAUGUACAAGUGUGAUAUUAGUUAUAGACAAAAUUAGUCCUAAUGACCAAUACAUUGUGGCCUAAAGAAUCCAACAUUGUUCGGCUAUUCUCACGGUAACGUGUGCUUCUUCCCGUUGCUGGGAUUAUGUGAUGCCCUAUGUUUGACCAAUUUGCUCCCAGCUCAUGGCAUUUUCCAUUUUUUUUUUUGUCCACCCUGCUAAUUGCCUCAAAACGUGCCUCUGUGAAGAUAGUCGUUUCGGUUAGUAGCACUAUAAAUAUGGAACACGAGCAAAAUGAUGAACUGCCAAGUUCCAUGUGCCUUUGCUGUUUCUAACACUCCCACGAUGUGCGCAAACCAUUGCGGACUUGACAAAGAUUCGCUUAUCGCGUAUUCAGCCGUUUUGGAUUAAACUAUAUUGUUCAUUCAGCUAAAGAGAAUUUAAAUGACCCUAACCUCAGAUGUGUGUCGGUCUCGACUAAAAAUUUAAGUAUUUUUAGGUGUAAACAAAGCAAAAAUAAUGUUAUAUUUAUGUGAUUUAAACAUUACCACCGUGAAAUGUGUUGAAAAGGAGUCAUCUUUUCCGUCCUUGUAAUCUCCAUCUCAAAAACUCUCUUAAACGUAUAACAUUACAUUCAUAGUGGUUGAAUUAACCCAAUUAGUAGUAUGUAGCAUCACAAUCCUCCCAUACACCUGUAGCUACUUCCACUAUGCUCAUCACAUGUAUUGGCACCGGAAAACGACACGUGUUGGACACUAAACAUGCAUUCGAUCAGAGAAGUCGAUGCAAUAAAGGUUUGAUUACGUCACAUAUGAAAUUUUAGUUCCAGAUAUUUGCAAUCAAUAACUGAAAAAUGGUUCAAAUCACAGAUGAACUCAUUAAUCAAAUCUACAGUCUAUACAACACUACAUAUAUAAGCCACCAAUGUCUACUAGUAAUAAUGUUUAUCAAAUCUAAGGACAAAAUGUUCCAGAGUCACUGAUUAUAGUACUAAUACUACUGAUAAAUAAACCAACCAACCAUAAUGCUUAGCAAAAUGUGAUAUGAUAUUGUGACUCAUUUAUUUAUUUAAGACAUUUUUUCUAUGUGGACACACUAUUUGGAACCCCUCUGCAUGUAACACCAGGUCCAGAACUGGGAGCAAGUAAUUCAUAAGGCAAAACACCGGCACCGCAACGGUUCCUCAAAUUCCUAUCACAAUUCCUACUAUCAAUCACCUUCUCAAUCUUUCCAAUUUCAGCAGAGAAUUGAUAAAAUGCUUCGACAAUCUCAGCAUCACCCGUCCAAAUCGAAGGCUGUUGCCUCUCACCUAAAUACUCUUCGUCAGACGAAUGAGUCGAAAGCGUGUCCACAACAGCCAUAUAUUUUGUAGCUUGCAACAAACUAGGCAAUGCAUUGAGAAAAUACUUUUGUGGAUCAGAUAUGAAACUUGUAUAUUCAGGGUCAUUCUCUUCUGGAAUUAAUCUUCUCAUCAACGGGGGACGAUUUGGCACGUAACCUCCAUAAGGGUACUGUCCAAAAUUAAGUGCAGCAUGUUGCGCGGAUGCAUUCCAAAUUAAGAUUGUUAGGACUUGGACAAGAUUGUCACUGUCGUUCAAUCUCGGCCACCAUGAUUCGUCUUUCAUAUCGGCGUGGCCUACAUUGAUUGAUUCGGAGUACCAAGCUUGUAACUCUCUGUCAUUGAUUAUUAGGCUUGGAUUUGGGUAGUAAUAGUUCACAUAGGUGCGAACCCAAUUUUCUAUUGCUGACCAAAUUAGAAGACCAUCUUCUGCAUAAGGGUAAUCUUUCAUUAUUAGCUUUAGCCCAUGUGGUUGUGUGGGGUCAGGUACUGCCAUUCCCCUGAAAUGUUAAAAAGUGAAAAUCUUAGUUAGAUUUAUAUGUCAUUUGCUUACACCAAAUAAAGCAAACAUCAAUUGCAUGUCAAGAAAAAUGUAGUGUCUCUUUUCACUAGAAGUCAACAAUAUCCUAAUAGCAUCUCUAUCCCAUUCACAACAUUGAAUGUAAAAUGGUUUACGUUUGGACAAUAAAUUGAAGUGUAAAACUCACGUUUAGAGUCAAAAACUAUAAAUCAUAGUUUCAAAUUAGAAUCAAUUCUAGAGUCAAAAUCAAUUAUUCAGAAAUGCACUCAAAACAUAUAAAAAAGUGAAAUCAAACAUAUACUAAGUGAAGCCUCAAACAAAUCAUAAAAGAAAGUUCAAUAUUUACAAUUUCUCUUUAGGUAUCAAAAUAUAGUUGUAAAGAAUCGCAGUCAAACGCAGCUGAUACAAUCAAAGACCACCAUUGAAGACCUUUAUUUUAAACUUUAGAGUUGAGGUCUUAAAUUAAUAAGUUAUAACAAACCAACGAUGCGCCUGAAAUGGUAAAAGGUAGCAGAAAAAUUUCAAGUACAAGUUAGAAUUUACCAUACGCCUUAUCUCUAUAUUUAGUGUGUUUGAGUUACGUCACUAGGAUCUUUAAAACAAAGCGGGAAAAAAUGCGGAAAUUAAAGUAAGAUAUUUACCUGCGGAUGAGAUCUUGAGGGAGGCUAUCCUGGUCAAAACGCCAGUUGGUUUUGUAAGCAGCAGAACUAAUCUCCAUUGCAUAUCGACCAGGAGUGAAGCAAGACUCAAUGACACCAUCUGCAUUGAUCAAGCUCUGUCGAGCUAAAGCAUUGAUCUCCAAAGUGUACCUCAUGUGUGGAUCCAAUAACUUGAAAAUUGGAUGCAUUGCACUUAAUUGCCUAUGAGCAGACAAUAUAAAUGGUUCCAUGCAAGCAUGUGUACGUAGCCUAUAUAAAAUUCACCAAGAAAAAAGAAACAAACAAACAAGUUCAUGUGAGUUAUAUAAUCCACCAGGUACAUAUUCUAUGCUUCUAUAAAAAAAAGUUCUAUACUUCAAAUCACCAAUUUAGUAUUCAAAUUGCAUGUGUCAAUGAAACAAUUUUUUCAAACCUAUGAAGCAAUGAUUUUUCGCAUGAAAUGCAUAUUUCAUAUUUGGUGUCGGACACAUGUCAAAAUUUGAUACAACACAUGUGAUUACAUUCAAUUAUUUCAUUGAAUUAUUAUUAGUGUCGACGUUCCAGUGUAAAUGUCAUGUGUCACUUGUCACAUAAAUUUUUAGGACUAAAUUGGUGAUUGACCAAGUAAAUGAAAAUUUGUGGUUUUCUUACCAAUGGUGGGCAAGUUGGUGCACACCAGCAUCAUUGGAGCAAACAUGAGCUUUUGCAAGCAUCCACAUCCAAUUAGUAGUAGCAUCUAAAGCAGGUGUAACUACACGUUUUGAUCGAGUAUUUGGUCCAGAUGGAGGCAGGCUAAGUUCAAUAGCAACAGGCUUUAGAGUACCAAGUGGUGUCAAGUAGUAUAUGGUACGUGUGGCAUAUGAUUUUCUACCAUCUAAGGCAUUGAUCCUUUCCAAAAAUGGAAGGUAGAUAUCAUGAUAAUCAAUUAUAAACAACUUAUUUUGAUCUAUAGCCUGCAAAAUUCAAAAAAAUAAAUAAAUAAUUAGCAAGAGUUUAGUUGAAAUAGUAUAGUAAUAAAAAAAAAGUCAAAAUUUAUAUGAUCUACUACUUUGACUAUUCUUUAUUCAGAAUUCAAUGAAAUGUGGAUUAAAUAGUAAAAAUAGGAUAAUUUUAAAUUUAUUUCUUUUGGAACCUAUUGGGCACCAUGAUAGAUUCUCCUAUUUUAACUGAUUUUUCUUCAUACGUAAGAGUUCGUUUGUCUCAAAAUUUACUCAAUAAAUUUAGAAGUCUAAGACAAAUUUUAAAGCAAGACUUAAAACUCUAACUUAAAUUGCUUAGACUUUAGGUCGAUCCUGAGUAGUCAAACAUCUGACAAUUUGUUUAAAGUAUCCAAAUCACACACUACUUGAAACAAACCACAUAUUAGUGACCAUUAUAAAUUUGAUGUCAAGUGAAAAAAUUAAUCCAUGGGAAAAAUGUUUUUCUUUAAGGUACAUGGGAAAUGUUAUACUAAUUGGUUAAAUAGUUUGAAAAACACUUCCCAAAGCACUUGAUUAGGUAACAUGGUUAGUAAGUUAAUGAACGCUUUGUACCAAGAAGAAAAAAGUUUAUGAAUGCAUUAUAUGGUACCUCUUGGACGGUCAUGCCAUUAAGUUGAUUUAAAAUGUGCUCUUUUUUAAGAGCAGACUCUUGUGGACCAUAGAUUUCAGGAUCUAAUUUACUAACAGGUGGGAAAACUGUAAGUCUCUCAAUGGUAACAGGAUUAACUCCAGCUAUUGCUUGACGAGCAAAUUCAUCAUCUCUCAACCAAGCAAAUUUAUCCUCUGCACAUUAGACACAUGAGAUCAAUAAUUUCACAAUUAAUUAAACAAGAACUUUAAUUUUUAUAUUAACACUUUAUAAUAACUAGACACACAUGUGAAACAUUAAUUUAAAAUUAACAAUUGAAUGAAUACACCUUUUGAAGUAGUAAUAAUUAAUAGCAAAUUGGCCCAGUUGUAAUUUUUUAUAUAGAAAAGGAAUGGUAUGAACACUAGAUCUAUCUUUGAACUGAAAACUCAUCUUUUUUGGGUGAAAUUCAACUGACAAACACUAAAAGCCAAAUAACAUGUUGUAGUGUGGCACUCUUUAAUUUGUAGCACUAUCUUUUCAUAUGGCAUGCCAUUAUAGAAUAUUCAUGGCAUAAGACCCCACCACAUUGCAAAUGAAAGGGAAAGUAAAAAAAGUAUAAAUUUUCCUUUAGUGUAAUUGGUAUAUGAUUUGGAGAUAUUUCAAAUCUAAGUUAAAUUUUUAUAAAAAACAUAAUUCAAUUUCGAAAUAUAAAGUUUAGAAAUUUUCUAAAUGAAGAAAAUGUAAAACCCUAAGAAAAAUUAUAUUUCAAAAAAUAUACAAUGCUACAUCUUCCAUCCAAUGACUUGUUAAUUCAUUAUUCAACCUGACGUACUAGUAGAAUUAAGCCGAAAAUUUAGUAAUGCGGAAAUUUUAAAAAAUGGAGGAUAAAAAUUGUGAAUCAGACGAGAGGACUAAAAGGUUAUUAAAACCAAAGAUUUACUUAUGAAAAGAAUUAGCAUUAACUCAAUUAUGCAACCAGUUUUCUUAGCAAAAAGGACAAGAAAUUAGCAAUAACAAGUGCAUAUUCCACUCACUUGAUAUAAUCUUGGGAAUGUCAUACUUAAGGAUACCCUGGCUGGUGGAUUCUUGGAUCUUGCUAACAAUGUGAGGCAAUGGAAGUUUCUUCAAAAUAUCAUCUUGCAAACCUAACUUAAUGAGUAGUCCAACACUAUAAAGGCCAUCAACAUCUGAGAAUUCGUUGAAAUCUUUGUUUUGAGCAGAAAGACUUGAUUUAAGGCCAGGAAGCAAGUUAUGAAGCACUCCUUUUAGCCUCUUCACUGAAAAUGUGUUCAUUUUUGAUUCCUCAAAUCUUUCAUCUCUUGGUAUAUACAUAGGAAGUGGCUUCUCCACACGACUCUCACAAGUAAUAUCUACAGCACCAUCCAAUUCAAUUUUGCUUAGUUAUUUAGAAUUUCCAUAAAGUGAAUGAGUCGGGGUUCAAAUUUAGGAAAUCUAAUAUCGCACUUUAAAGGAUAGAAAUGUAGUUUAACACCCUACUAAAGGAUAUAAUGCAAAAUUCAUUAAUCAUUUAGUAGUGUAAAAUUGCUUAUUUAAUUAAUUAUUACCUGUAUCAGAUGGUUCACGGCCAGUACGACACCGUCUAGGGUAUGGAUACAUUUCAGAUCCGCCAAGAGUUGGUCUAGCAAGAUCAAUUCCUCUAUCUGGGUUUCCAAGAUCAUUGUAUGUGUCAUAAUCAUAAAUUCUGUCAGAUAAUUUUCUAACUCCUUUUCCAUCACCUCUCAGAUUUUUCAGGUCUUUCUCCCUCAAAAGUUUAAUCCCAGCAGGUGUAUCAUCGGGUAGAUAAGGCUGUUCAAAGUAAAUCAAACAUAUGUUACCACUUUAUUCCGAAAAGAAUAUAUACUAUACUUGAUCUUAGUCGAAAGAUCGAGAAAGGUAAAUGUUACCAUUUUAUUUUUAUAUUUAAGGAAUGUUGCCACUUUAUUAGUUGUAAUAAAUUAACAUUAGGGAAAUGCCGAAUAGUAUCGAGGGUAAUAUUAUUUCACCACAUUCACCCUCGAUCAUAAGGAGUAUUUGUAAUAGUCAGAAAAAUAAGAGGAAUGCGAGAGAUAUUAUUUUCUAACACUUUAUAAUAUUCAUCUUUUAUUAGAUGAAAUUAAUCUAUAUCCUAGUACCAUUUUAAGAAGACCAAUUUUUAAGUUGUGAAACUCACCUUCAUUUAAACAUAUAAAGGAGUGAGUGUUAGAAAGCGUUCAACUGUCUAAAAAAUAAAGAUAAAGACUAGUAGUAUUCUUUUUCUUGACAAGUACUGCUAUUAUUUAAUUCAACGGUUUCUUUGCCCAAUUCAUACCGGUAGGUCAAUUCAAUGGUGCUUGGUCCAUGCAUAAAUUUUCUAGCUUAAUUGUUUAUUAAUACUAUAUCACUUUAUCACGGAUAAUUAAUUAAAAAAUGCAAUGAUAUAUAACACUAAUUAUAAAAUCACGGACUGUUUGGUUUUGGCACCUAAAAUAUUAAAUAACAUUCAAUAUUUUUACGGUAAAAAAUGAACUUUUGGAAUUCUUGUCCCUUUUCAAGAUUCUUCAAAAGAAAAAUUAUUAUACCUUUUAACUUCCAAUUUUCUCCUUAUUUCUCACGUUGAAAAAAUGAAUAAACAAAUAAUGUUGCCUUAUUAUACUAUUUCUUUGGCUGUACUAUUUUUUUUUCUUACUGGGCCAUGUUAUGAUGACAGAACGAAAAAUAUAAAAAACAAAAAAAGAGUUGAAGAAUUAAUUAUUAGAUACCUUAUUAGAAAAGAAAAUUCUCUUUCCAGGAAGAUCUUUUCUGGCUUGAACCCAAGAAUUGCAAGGAAAAUGAAAUGCUCCAGUUGCAAAUCCUUCAAUUGUUAUAUUUUCUAAGUAAAACUCUUGUUGAUGAUUAUUUAUCACAGUAAUUGCUCCUGGUUCUCCAAAAUUUGAAUCAACCGUAAAUUCAGCUGUGUAAUUAACUCUCUCAGCUUUAAUAUUAGUCUUCUUUGACCAAUCCUUCAACACUGCUUCAUUGGUCUUCUUUGCAGCGUUUGUUUCUGAAAGAUCACAACAUAAAAAUCACCAAUAAUUUAAUUCAGUUAUAAAUUUAAAGUUAAUCCAAAUAAAUUUCCAAAAAUAAUUAAAAUUGAUCAAAAUCAAAGAACAUUAAAUUAAAUUUAAAAGCUAUGAAGCACAGAUACGGACGGACACUAACAUGCCAACACCGCUAAUAAUUUCAUAAAAUUACAUAAUUCAGUGUAAUUACAAGUGUUGGUGUUGUAUCAGUGUCGGACACCGGGACACGUUAAAUCCGAUGAGUGACUGCGCUUCAUAGAUUAAAAGUAUAAAUUAAAUAUUGAUUUUUAAUUAACAGAAUGAAGAAAAGUCUUACUUGGAUCAAUCUCAGUGCUAAAAAGUUCAAGAACAACAUUUCGUCCAAUCCUAUCAGUAAAAGCAUCAAGAUGUUUCACAAAAGUCUCUUUGAAAUCCUCUUUGAUCUUGUUCCUCACUGUCACAACAGCUCUAACCUUAAAUUUCACUGGUUUCUCAGCAGGAACAGAAGAAGAAGAUGAUGAUAUAGAAGAAGAUGAAGAAGAGCUUUUCAUCAAAUCUUCACUGAUAGCUGCAACAGGGAACUUUGCAGAUUUUCUCAACCUGACAACUCUUUUGUUUCCAUAAGGAACAAAAACAGGACUGAUCAAGAAACUACCAUUCUUCUGUUGAAAACAUGGUGAAGAAGAAGGAAAUAUUGGUCUCUCUACCAAUGAAGAACCCAUGAAUUCUUUUGUUAGGGCCAUGAAUCAAUGGUUUCUUUGAGGUUUUUUCCUUCUUCUAAGGUUUUUUUGUUAAUUUUUAUGAAGAAGGUUUUGUUUCCUACGUUUGGUGAAAUGAAAGAAGAAGUGGAACAGUGAGAAAUAGUUAGUGGUUGUGUCGGUUUUAAUGUAAAUAGUUGGCUUAAGAAUUGUUUUAUAUAUAUACAAGUGAAGAAUACAAUUAGUCAAAAAAAUAAUUUGAAGAACACAAGAAAAGUAGAUUAAAUAAAAGGUGGCCAAAUAUGAAUCAUGAAUUUCUCUUCACCGUCCACACGUUUUAUUUUCUUGCAGUUUAUGUAUAUGCAUAUGAUUUUUAUAGUUGAGUCCUUAAUUACUAGUAUUAGUGCAACUAGUAUUAAUUCAACAACUUUUUAUUUCCUACCGUCCUAGUAAGUCCUAAUCCUAACUUUUUAUAUUUAGAGUGAUCUUAAUAUACUAUAUUUUUUGAGGGAGUUAACUAUUUAUAUAGUUUGCUAAUAUGAAUGAAAAAGACAAAAAAGAAGUAGUAAAAAAUAUAUAAACUAGUUAGUGAGCUUUAAUUAGGAACGAUUAGAUGUAGAAUACUCGAGUUGGAACUUUAAAGGUUACGCUAACAAGUGUCCUGGAUGCUUGUUAAAAAAGUUAAAUAUGGAAAUAAGUAAUAAAUUUAAGGUAAAAAAGUCAAUUUCUAAAAUUUAGAGGUAUUAAACACAAUUUUUAAGAGAAAUACUCUUUUUUGUAUUUCUUGUCAAAUGCUCUUAAAGUACUUGUUAACAUUUUCCAUCGUAUAAUCAAGUACCUUGCAAUUAUUGUUACUAAUAAAUUAUGGAUUAUGACAUUUGUUAAGGAAACCAAAAGUAGUAGGUUUGCAUUAGAUUCAACAAUAUUUUAACUUUUAAAACAUCAAAUUCACCACUUUUCAAUGCAAUAUUUUUAUUUUUAUCCUUUUAAUUAAUGCCUUAAGAAGACUCUUUAGCAUGCAUCUAAAUCAUUCAAAAAUUCAAAGGAAAAAUGCAUAGACUAAAUAUAAUUUUUUUAGAGAGGCUAAAAAUAAAAUUUUAAAAGAAUAUACAAAACCAAAUUAUAUAGUCGCCUACAAAAUUUGAAGUCUAACGUAAGAGAUUUUAGUAGUUGAACUCUUUCACGAGCAUGUGUACUUGGGCUUUGUAAUUGUUGUGAAUUCGGACCAGAUUUCACACCAAUAAACUUACAUUUGUGGAGCAAAAUAAAGUAGUAAUCAAUAAUCAUAGUAGCUUCAAGCAACAACAACAAUAACAAACCUAUAUCUAAGUAUGAAGAAAAACCGCAAGCAAAAUCAAAGCAUAAAGAUGAAGAGAUAAGUGAAACAAACACACCAAGAUUUGUUCACCCAAUUAGACCCAGCAAUGAUCUACGUCUGAGAUAUAUAUAUAUAUAUAUAUAUAUAUAUAGAGAGAGAGAGAGAGAGAGAAUUAUCUACUUCACUAGCAAUGAGAUUCUUACAAAGAGAUAUAGAGGGUUACAACAAAUUUACUUCAACAAGCUAUAUUAGAACAAAUCUAAUUUCUACCAAUUUCUCAAUCUCUUCCCAUGAACAAGAGACUCAAAGAUUUUCACUCACCAACGUGUUUGUAAUUGUUUCCAACCCAAAAAUAUCACUCAAAGACCCCAACCUUUAGCUUUUAUGUUUUCUAAAAUUCCCACCUUUGGUUUCAUGAGAUUUCACAACAAAAUGAUGAAAUAAUGCUUAAAUAGUGUGCUGACACAUGCUAAUUUUUGCCUCACAAUCUACUGGUAUGCUUUUAGAUGUCCGCAAAUCGCCUUAGGAUUUUCUCAAACUGCCUCACAAUUUGGACAUAACUGGGACACAUAAACAACAUUGUAAAUCACCUCACGGUUUGCCCUGAAGCCGAUUUCGCAAAUUCAUCAUAUCAUCAAUUUUGAGUCACAAUUUCAACAUUUCUCCACAUUGACUAUAAUUUUUUGGUGAUGUUAACUUAGCCAUCAACCACAUUUCUCAAUAUCAUUGCAUCUAACUAAACCAUGUAAUUUCAUAAGUUUUCACCUUUAUCUCGUCAACCCUCUGAGUGCCUUCCACUCUCUUGAAGAUCCUUACAUCCAACUACAUUAGGAUUUUUUUGUAGUUCCACAAUUUUCACCAUAACAUCUUCGAACCCCGGAGUGCACGUCUUCGUCUUCUUGAAGAUUUACUUGUUCUCCACAAAAGCAAACAUGCAAGGACUCCAUAGUCGAACCAUUUGGAUGCCAUCAACUUAUCUCCACCUAGUCCCACUAAUAGAAGACUCCACCUCAAGCCGAGUUUUCUCUACCUCAAGUUCCCAAGUGCAUACAUCCACUAUGUCUUUCACCUUUUAACCUCCACAUUAAGGUUGGUCAUAAGUAUUCGUAUCUCCUCCUCUCUAGGUUGAGCUUAAGUAUUCUUCGCACCGCCACUCCAGGCUGAUUUUAAGUGUUGAAUGUCUCUCCAAAUGAACACUCAUCUACAUGAGAGUCAACAUCCAAGUGUCGUUUUUUUCAAGGUGAGAAACUCCACCUUCUUCAUUUUCCUAACAUGACACCAUUAGAUCCCUUGCAAAUUGUGUGGAGUCAUCGUUGCACCGUAACUUAGGACAAUCCUUUUGUAACGGUCGUUGCUGUGACACGAAAUAACCUAUAUAUACUUCGACUUAUCACCAACUUUUGAGUUUCCAUGGUUUACUCUACACCCACCUCCUCUUCUUGAGACACUUAAUCCUUCGCUACCACCGUCAUCUGUUAAGUCUUUGGACAUAGUUAGCUACUUGGUUCUCAACGAUGUUUGGACUUUCUCAAAUGUGAUAGUGUCUUCUUUACCAUAGUGUCUUGGCACGGGCUAAACCGCCUUACGAUAUGUUAGUAGUACACCAACUGUUUCUAGCUGUCAUGAGAGGUGAUUUUCACAAGUUGCCUCAUGGUCUGAUCAGAAUUGAACAUUGAAAAUCGGUUUUCCAUUUCAACAAGUCGCCUCACAAUUUUCUCUGAAACCAAUUUUCAAAAUUCAUCAAUUCAUCAAUUUUGAGUCAUGAUUUCAACAAUAAUCAUACUAAAGAUGAUCAAGUCUUAUUUAGACCCACUUACAGGCUGCCUCCAAAAUUGUCAACAACACACUCUUUAUAAAUUAGUUUCUUCUAUUGAUUAAAAUUCAUGUAUAAGUAACUAAAAUAUGUGAAAACUUUGUGAUUUUGUGACAUAUUUCCAAAAUAUUUGGACUUAUACUGUUUGGAUUCCAACCAAUAAAGAGUUAUAUGUUAAAAAAAUGGUGGUGUCAUGGAGAGUAUCUUGCUAACACUUCUCAUAUAAGUUUGUAUAAGAGGCUAAAAUUUGCUAUGCUCAGAUUCAUGUUUUAAGAACGCUCAUGUCCGAUCAAUUAUUCAAAACCAAUCAUCAUUAAAAAAUUAUAAAUAAAUAAUGUGUAUUCAUGGGGUCCGUCUAAGGAGUCAUUCUUAAUGUAUUAUCAUUGUGGAUACUCUUUUAUAAAUUUAUCUUCUUAUUAGUGCUAUUAUUCAUAUGUAACUUCAAAAUCUAUGGGAUAGAUAGUGAGUCAAAACAAGGUAAUGAGAUUUUUCCAAGUAAAAGACGCGGUGUUUGGGAAACAGCAAUGAAAGUGUGUUACAUGCAUGACUUGGACUUACAUGACAUGUGCUGUACACUUGUACAUGCUUUUCCCUAGAUUUUAUUUGUAAAAAAUUGCAGUGGUGCCCCUUGGACUUGGUUUUUUGCAACUUUAUUCUUUGGUCAAGGAUCUUUAAUUUUGCGGACCUUGUUGACCAAUGGAGAAAUACCAAACACAGAUGAGAUCCAUGGUCGGUACAAUAACGAACGGACCCAAUUCAAUAUGUGUAUUCUUACUUUCAUAUGAAGACGUUUCUAUUCAAUCAAUUCCAUGAAUUUUAUAUAAAGUCAGAAACUUGGUCAAAUUAAAUUCCUAAUUUUUUUUUGUAGUCAUAAAGAAAUCCAGUUAGCCAUACGAAAAAUAAAGUUUACAUCAAUAUUCUAAAUUCCGGACUCCGGUCCAUUUGAUGAGUAUAUUUGAUUACAUCAUAAUCACUUUUUUCUUAAGAAAAAUAUUAUUAUUUAUUGUUGAAACAUAAUUUGUGUUUUGUGAAAUAAAAUAUUCAUACGAGUCUCAUACACAAUAUUAGUGUUUAUAUAGUAGAAGUAUGAUUCUUGUAGUAUGCUUAAAGGGUAUCUAAUUUUAUAAUUAAGAGAGGACACAUUAACAUGACCACAACUCACACGAGGUCGCUGUCGUCCAACCGACUCAGUUUGGGGUGUAUUAUUUUUUAAUGACCCAAAAUCUCAAUUAUUAUUUAUAACUUUUUCUUCUGGUACAUGCCAAUUUUUUUAACGCGUUAGCACACGAUCGACAUACGCCAACAUGCGUCCAACACACACACGCACGUGUGUACCCUCCAACCAUAAACCAAAUCAUUCUCGCGUCACACGUUAAUGAGGCUAGAUCGAUCGUCCGUUUUCCAACAAUCAUACAAUAUGAGCCAUCCAUUUUUUUAAUUGAUCUUGGAUCCUCGCCUAUAAAAGGAGUGCACGGUCUCACUUUCGAGAUACACCAAAACUCAACAAUCUACAAGUUUUCUCUCGUUCCCAUCUUUCUACUCGACACAUUUUCAAGCUACUUUUUCCUCUUUCUUUCUAUCAACUCGAGUGCUCUUAAUGCCAUAUUUGAGGAUGUGUAUCUAAAACGGAUUCUACAAUGCAAUAGAACUCAGGUACAGUUUUCGCUGAGUUGCUUCAUCCUGAAGACGCAGUGGUUGGUAAUCAUGUUAAAUGCCAAAUUUAAGUAAUUUUCAAUAUACUUUUAAUGACACUUGUUAACAUGAACUUUAACUUAUGUAAAGCAAGUGAUUUUCCCCCACUUUAUUGUACAUAAUAGUAACUAGAAUUUGAUACAUGAGAAUGAUAAUAGUCGCAUCAAACCAUGUUAUUAUAAGUUAGAUGAGAAUGAAACAAUCAAACAGGACAGCAGCAAAACAUUUUAUGGAAAAGAAAGCUAAAAAGGUUGAGAUGUUGUCAAAAUGGCUAAGCCCCUAAAAAAUGGCUAUGCAAUUUUAGAAUUGGGCAAAAUGGCUAAGCGCCACGGGAAAUGGCUAAGCAAUUUUGAAACAAUAAAAAUGGCCAACGCCACAAACGAUGAAAAUUGGCCACAAAAUUGAGAUUUGUGGCUAACUUUUGAGGGCCGGAGACCCUCACUUAUUUUCUUGUCAUAAACAUUUGUGUUCGUCUAGUCGGCCACAAACGUUUUGCUUUGUCUAAAAAUGAAAAUAAGUUUAUAAGGGACCAGUCCGAUGCAAAUUUAUGGCCGUCAAUACUACCGCAUAAAAUGAGGUGACUUUUGUUGUGGGUAUAUCUGCCACAAAAAAUUAACCUAAAAAUUAUUAAAACAAUAUUGUAGAUUGUGUUUUUAUAUGUAUUUUCGUAUGAUUGUUAUUACGGUUGUUAUAAAAUAUCAAUUUUAAAAUAUUGUCUAUGAUCCUAAAUAUAAGAUUUUUUUUUUUAUGUUCAUAACUAAUGUAUCCGAUUUAUAUUAUAGGCCAAAACAUUAAAUAUUCAAUGAACCUGAAAAAAGAACCUUUUUUAUAAUUAGCACCGGAGGGAGUAUUACACAUCGUAGGAAAAAACAUCUGGAAAUCAAAUAACAUAUUCUUAAACCCUGCUUCCUCCCCUUGUGGAAAACUCAAAAAUCAGAGGAAAAAACAAUGACCGUUGAACAACAACAAGAGAAUAACAUAUCUAAAUAUAAAAAUUACAACACAUAAACUUCUCUCAAAACCGACGACCCCAAUACACCAUACUCUCAAAAUCAUAUAUCGGAACUACAACUCAUAACACUCUAAGACAGGAGCGUAAGAAAAAAGAAAAAAAUCAGGUACAAGUUUAAAAUGUUUCCAACCGAUUCAUCAUGUAAGACAUCUCGUUUACACAUACUAGACGACAUGAGACAUUUUUCCACAUAUUUCAAUCAACUCCAACAAUAUCCACCUUGAUUAAAAUUGAUAGGCCCUCUACUUCCAUUGUCACACAAACAAUUAUAGUUCGAAAAAACUAGCAAACUCCAUCAUAAAUAGUAUACUUCACUUGGAGAUAAAGCACUCCAAGAUAUUCUAAUGUGAAAAAUCAUAUUGAAAAAUUAUGGUACAACUUCUAUGUUGCCUUUCUCAUGUAGUUCUUCAGCCAUCAAUAAAAUCUCACAUCACACUAUGCAUCAAUUCCAAUUGAUACCUGUGUGCCAACCAAUACCCUGUGUAAUAUCGAUGGUAUCAAAACAAACUUGACUUACAUAUUACUAUGCAAAAUUGAUUCUUCCAUUAAAUUUCUCUAUGAAAAACUUUACAACAGAACUUGACAUUGCAAUUAUAUACAUAUUGUAAAUUGUGCACCAGAAAGAUUCACAGGAAAGAGAGGUGAGUCACAAUGGACAGACUUAAGUACCAAAUAUUUCCUAGCCAUAUCAACAUUUCCAAAACAACAACCCUUUCUAAUGUAGAAGAAAAUAUACUAUUACAAUACACAACAUACUAAGAAUUUAAUAUUUGGAUCAAACCAAAACUUUAAUACCAAUUGUUGAAAUAUAAAGUGGAAAAUACCAAAAUAGGACCAAAAAAAUCACUUUUGUCAAAUGAUACUAGAGAAUGACAAUAUAUGAAAUUUAUUACAACACAUAGACUUCUCUCAGAAAUUCCAAGGCCUUGGUGUAGCUAUACUCUACAAAACAAAUACUUGAACUACAUCUCAAAAUACUUGAAGACGAGAAAGUAAAAGUGGGAAAUCAAAUACAAACUUAAUGUAUUUUUAGCAUGGACACCUUUUAACAAAGAACUAGAGUUCUUUCAAAAAAAAAAAAAGAACUAGAGUUAAUAUCUACCGGUCUCCCUCCUUCUUUACCAUACUAGGCGAUGUGAGAUAUUUUUCAAAAUGUUUUAAUCAACUCGAACAAACAUAGCACAUAUCGCAUAUUUUAAUGAUUUGAGUAAUUCCUUUAAAAAAAAUGAUUUGAAUAAUUGUUAAGAAAAAUUAUUUUAUCUUGUAUAUAAUCACGAAUUUUUAAUAUUUUUAAGUGGGUUAUUUUUGUAAGUGUUUUUUAUCAAUAAAAACAUGCUUUAUAUAUAUAUAUAUAUAUAUAUAUAUUGAGAAAUUAUUUAUUUUAUAUAUAUUUUGCUAUUGCAUGUCAAUCGUAUUUUCUUUUAAGUUAAAUAUAAAACACACUCUUUUUAGUGCUUUAUUUUUUUUAUUUUUUUAUUUUUUACAAUUCAACGGACUUUCUAUAUCAAGUUUUAUUUUCUGUGAUGAGUGUGUGCACUAUCAAAGGUCUUAGUCAUACCCAUAUCAAAUUUCUUAGUGGGCAUGAUCUUAGUGACGUACCCGGAUCAAGAAGGAGAGCACCUAUAAAAACAUUUCCACUUCAAGUAGAAACAUUCCUGCGGUGGAGUAUCUUAGUGAGUUUAAUAUCUGUUACUAAUAUUUUGUUUCCUCACGUCUAAUAAACUAAUUACAAAUGUUUUAACUUAAAAAAAAGUGCUUAAGCAGAAUUUAGUAAGAUAAAAUCAUAUUUAGGAAGAAGAAAGACCUUAUUAAGCCACUUACCCUUUUUUUUUUUUUUUUUUUAUGCUUCGUUUGUGCACUUAUGCUCCACGCACCGUAUACAACUAGAAUUGCAUCUUAGUAUCAAUUUUAGACAUAUAUAAUAAGAUUGCACCAAAAUAAAAUAAAAUCAUAUAUAUAAGUAAGGGAAGUGGGACAUCGUUUUUUAGGCAAACUUUGGUUUGUUUGAAAUUUAUGAUAAGCCCCACCAAGAGAAAUUGGAGACGAAAUAGAGUGAGAUUCAAGUUGAAGCAUGCAACCCAAAAACAUUUAGAUAAGAUGACACGAGUCUCUUCUAAUUUAAUCAAUGUUAUGAGUUCGAAUUCAGUCUUAUAUAUGCAUCAGCGCUAAAACACUCUUGGGAGAGUUUAUACUUGUAGAUGAUACCCGAUUUUAAAAAAAUAUUGGAGCAUUUAUGUUAAUAUUAAUUAAUAUUACACAUUGACAACAAAAAAAAAAUUAGAUGCAAAAUCUUUUUUUUUUCUUCCAAGGAAUGCAAAAUCCAGCAUAAAAUAUAUUAAAUUAAAGUUGGACAAAAUUACUCUAUAAAUCUUGUAUCUUAUUUAUUUGUAACAUUUAAUUCCUUUAUAUUUUUAAAAAAAAAUCCUUUCUUUUUUAUUUUUGGUCCGUUUAAAUCCUUUAUCUUUUAAAGCAUGCACAAAUAAAUUAUUUUUUUCCUUUCAUUUUUGAUUAAAAAAUAUUAAGUUAACAACCGACAUAGAAUAAUCUUAUGUUUGUUAAAUAUUUUUUAUUAAAAAUAAAGAAACCAUAAUAGUUAUUUUUUUUAAAAAAAAGCCAAAAUGAAAUAUAUAACAAAGCAGUCCCUAGAGCACAAGCUGUGCCUUAGAGACUACCAUAGGAACCAAGAGUUACAACAAUUACAAACCAACCCAACCGGACUACGUUAGCCAAUACCCAAAUAAACAAGAGGGCUUGACCACCACUGUUGGGUACCAAAAACAAAGAUAGCUUUUUUAGCUUUCAACCAACCUAAGGACAACAUCUUUACCUUGUCUAACAAACGGGGGAUGGGAGUUAUAACAUUAUUAAACAGACGAUUAUUUUGUUCAUUCCACACAACCCAGUCACAAAGUAGCCAUAUAAGUUGCAUAAAAGAACGUCUAGAAACAGCACCACCUGUCAAAUAAGUAAACUGAAGAAAAUGAUCUGAAAUAUUAUCGGCAUCCACCCCCGUGCAACCAAUCCAAUCACGCACCAUAUGCCAAAGCGAACCAAAAGUGUUACACAACAGAAAGAGAUGUUGAGCCGUUUCAGGAUGACCGCAACCAGCGACACAUAAGGACAUAUCAGGCAACAACACCCGUCGAGCAAUCAAAUUAGUCUUCGUUGGUAACCGAUCCUUGAGGAGUCUCCAUGCAAAAACUGAAACCUUCAAGGGAACCUGUUUGUGCCAAACCAACUCCGCAUCAGUAGCCGCGUCAGAAUGGUCCUGAGAGGUUAGCACAUGAUAAGCACCACGAACAGUGUAUCCAUCUGAAGGAGCAGGAAGCCAAACCCAUCUAUCUGAAACAUUCGGAAACAAGAGAACAUCAAGAAGUAAAGCCCUACACUCCUCUAAUAACACCUCCUCCCACUGCCACAAUCUACGCCUCCACCUCCAAACAACCCCCUGCUGCUCCAAAUCAACAGAGAACAAGUCUGCCACAGACAUAAGCUUAUUCUCCGUUAACUCAAACAGUCUACGAAAACGGACACAGAAAGGAACAUCCCCUAACCACCUAUCAUACCAAAACAACGUAUCAGAACCAUCUCCAACCCUCCUAGCCACGUGGGCGAGAAACCACCCACAAUCACCCUCACCAACACUAUCCCUAAGACGACUCACCUCCCUCCACCAACACGAAACACUCCGGCCCCCAACCUCCAACCUGCCACCUAAUUCGCCAUACCUGGAAACUAAGAUCCUAUACCACAAACCACCUCUGUCCACCAACAUCCGCCAACACCACUUACCUAACAAAGCACUAUUAAAUUCAUUCAACUGUCUCACCCCCAAACCUCCAUACUCCUUUUUUGAACAAACAGUUUUCCAACCUAUCCAGGAAAUUUUUCUAUGAUCCUCACUGCCCCCCCAAAAAAAAUUAUUAAAUAAAGAUUCAAGGGAAGAGAUUAUACCUGAUGGAGCUUUGAAGAAAGAAAGUGCAUAGACAGGUAGAGAAGUCAAGACAGAUUUUAAAAGAACCAGACGUCCUCCAAAGGAAAGAAACCGGCUAUUCCAACCCGUAAGUCUAGCUUUAACUCGAUUCACAAUAGGAUCCCAAAAACUAAGACGAAGAAUGAAAAAACAUUUCUACUCAAUCCCCGUGAGUUUAGCUCAGCUGGUAGGGAUAUUGCAUUUUAUAUGUAGGGGCCGGGGUUCGAACCCCGGACACCCCACUUCUCCAUAAUUAAAUUGUGUGAACUCUAACCAUUAAUACUUGACCCAAAAAAAAAUAUUUCUACUCAAAUCCACCGUAAAAUAACAUGAAUGUCAAUGUUAUGCUCACCUUCCUCUUUUUCUAAACUCAAAAAUAAAAAUUCUAAAAUUGUCAAUAAAAACACUAAAAAGAAUUUGGUUUAUUGAGAAAUGUCUAUAUCUUCAACAAUACCGCUAGGCUUCAUUCUCAUCUUUUUUUCAUUGAAUUGGGUUCCUAUUUUGGGGAAGAACAGAGAAAAAUUAGAGGAGGUUAUCAAUGUUUUUUUUUUGUUGUUUGGGAUUCGAACUCAAAACCUUACAUAUAUUAUACAUUGUCUCUACCAAUUAAGUUAAGUUUAAUCAAGAGAAAUGAGUGGCUUUAUCGGUCAAAAGUUUGGUGAUGUUUCUCAUAGUUAAUUGAGAAUUUCUAUUAUUUAGAAAAAGAUGGAAGUGAACAUAUAUAUUUAAUUUUUAUUUUAUUUAAGGAAGAUGAUGAAGGUAAUUAUAAAUUUGAAAGUUUAUGGAUUUUUAAUAAAAAAAACUCGAUUAUCCUAAUGGCUUAUUGCCAACUUAGUAUUUUUUUUCAACAAAAAAUGAAAAAAAAAUGAUUUAUUUGUGCGCGUCUAAAAGAUAAAUGACUCAACUUUACAAAUAAAUAAAAUAAAGAUCCUUAGAGUAACUUUACCUAAAAAUUAAAACUGUGAAAAGAAAAUGAUCAAUUAUGUUUUUUUUUUUUUUAUUAUAUGAACUGGGUAUCACCUGCACACAACUACAAAGACUAAUUAUUCAUGCUGGUUUAGACCACAAUAGAUAGAAAAGCUCUCCAUCAAGAGAUAUCGAUUAUAUUAGAAACAUAUGAAGUAGUAAAAAUAUAGACUAAAUUAAACUAAUAAGUAUUAGGUAAAACAAUAAUAAAACCAACAAACUAUUGAUCAAUGUAAUAUAUCAUACUAAUUAAAAAAUAGAUAAGUAUUAAAAUUUACUUACGAAGUCUGGUUCAAAUUUGAAAAAUUGAUUAGAUAUCUGAAAUCCUAUCCGAGUGGAUUUCACAAAAUGACAUGCUCCAAACACAUAUGUUCUGGACCGGCCAAAAGGAUCUUUGGCCUAUUUACUUAGGCCCAACACAAUCCAAAGCCCAAACUCCACGUUUGGCAAACUUACUUGCAACACACCCCUUCUCCGCCGGGGGGGGGGGGGGGGGGGGGUGCACGGAGCGAGCGAGACCGGUUCAUACGAGCCACAACGUCUCUAUGCACGUUCCCACAAUAAACUCUAUGACGGUUACACUUCCCACGAUUUCGUAACCGCCAGAGCCAGGUGUGCCAUUACAACGGCUCUGCAGCCUUCCACCUCUAUAAAUAGGGGACUCAUAGCAGUCCCCAAGUUAGAAUCUAUCUCUUCCUGUAAACCCUCACUCUCUGAUCUCUACUUACUUGAGCGUCGGAGUGCCUGCAGGUACACACCCCAUCCGCUCCAAGAAGCAUUAUGUCGUAUUCUACCACCACCUAAACCACUGCAUUCAAAGCACCGACAAUCACAUUCUGAUCAGGUACGAUCAACAUCUAAUAAUAGUUGGAUUUGGGCCGUUUUCGGUUUUUUUUUUAUUGGUUUUAUAUUGGAUUAGUUUGAAUUUGUACACCCUUAAAUUGAUUAAUGUAAUAUAUCAUACUAAUAAAAAAAUAAAUAAGUAUUAAAAUUACCUAUAAAGUUUGGUUCAAUUUUGAAAAGUUGAUCCAAAUUUCGGUCCAAAUGGGUUUCACAAAACGACAUCUAAACACAUCCAAUUCAAUAAUAGUUAAGUUUGUGCGAUUUUCAAUUUUUUGUAUCAAUUUGCGAUUUUAUAUUGGUUCAAUUUGAAUUUGACCCUUAAAAUGUAUGAUGCAACCAAACAAAAGACGUUAGGGGUAUGUUUGAUUUAGGGUAGAGGGAGGGGAGUGGAGGUAAUACUUUUAAUUAUGUGUUUGGUUUAAUUUUAGGAGGGGAGGGAAGAGCAAAAUCCCUCUUAAACCCGCCAAAUUGAGGGAAUUUGGAGAGGAGAAGAGAUGAACAAAUCCCUCUUUUGAACGAAACAUAUAUUUAAUUUAAAUACUUCCGCUCUCUUCUCCUCCCUUUCAUUAACAUCUCUCACUUCCCUCAGUUUAAUCAAGGAACCCUAGAAGUUUAAAUUGAAGAUAACGGUGUCAGAGGAGAUGAACAACAUUCAAAACAAUGUUCUCCACUUCUCAUUAUUUCAAAGACAUGUUUUUACUAGCCAUGUAUUUGUUUAAAUUUUUGCAAUCUGAAGAAGAUGAGCAUGCUCUCCCUUUUUGGUUGGUUUUUGCAUAUCUAGUUUUUUUUUCUUUCUUUCUGCACAUAGCCAUUUUUGCUAAUAUAUAUCAGUUUCAUAUUAUUAGCAUUGCUUUCUCUCAUUUCAAACAUGAAAAAGGGUGAAAUAUUAAUCUAAUAACUAACGAUUAACAUCGGUCAUUUUUAAAAAAAAUAAACAGUCUUCUAAAUAUUUUUGAGAUUUCAGACAAUAUUUUAGUGGUAAAAGAUGUUACCCCUCCACAUUUUUUACAGAAGGGACACCAAGAAAAAAAAUAAAUGACGAUAUCCAGUUAGACCAUUUCCAAUGCCAAAUUUUUUAAGGAAUGACAACUAUCUUCUAAGUUCUAAGAGACACCUGGAGGGACGAGAGUUAAACAUGAUCCAAGAGCAUGAAGUAAGUAACAUCAAUUAUUUAUUAAAAAACUCAAAAGUAGGUAUUGUAAAUACUACUUCGCCUCAAAUAUGAACAAAAACUGAUUAAAGAAAAUUAAUGUAUUUGGUCCAAAAACUGAUCAAAAAGGGUUGAUGCAUUUAAUCCAAAUUAUAUCAUAACAAAUCAUAAUUUACGAAAAUCAUAAUUUUUUAUUUUCACACUUUACACUCAAAUCUCACGCUUAGAGGGUACCUUUGUUUUACUUCGUAUAAUAUGUAUAAUACAAAUUACCACUAGAAAAUUGGCUUUAGCGUCAGCAUAAAGCUCAGGUUAAUAGGCCAAAAGAUGAUACUUGCAACGAUUUAGCGCCAAAUGUCGUGGCACACUCUAAAAGGCUCAAAGCUAACAGCAUCGUUCACUUUUUUCAGUCGACACUUUAAUUAUUGUAUAUUAAGCCGGCGCUAAGCAGACACUACGAUCUAUUAAUAAAUAAUUGACACUAACAAUAGUGUCAGAUACACCGACACUAGUGAGCCUCGGUCAGGCCCACAUUAUUGUUGUAAUUUAAGCUUUUAGCGUCAAAGAGCCACGCUAAUGUCAAAAUAUAUUUAAAAAAGUUGCAGCAGUGAAAUACAGUCUACUGAUGUGCAGUAUCAUAAGAACUUGUAGGCAUAUUUGCUACAUUCCAAUCACUUUGUAAUAAAAGUAUGUUUUGGAUUAGGAACAAUUUCUAGACAAGGAGAAAUUAUUUCAACGAAAGUGGAAAAAGAGCUUGAUACCAGAAUCAUGAGAUAUCCAAAGCUUAUGCUUCUAGAACCUGUUUUGCAGACUUAAACAAUUAGUAGGCAAAGUGCUCUUUUGUUUUUGUGUCAGUUUGUCAUCGUCAAAACAUCAAUAACGUAUAGUUUGUAUAUGUACCUAUUUCUAACAAUUGUGUGUGUCGUAAAUGUUAAUUACAAUUAGUAUUUAUAGGCAGAGCUCGCAUCUUGCUGGUUAAGACAUUAUGGUCUACAAAAUCUUGCUUGAUUGCCGUAUUCGGCUAUUCCCACAGGUGAUGCGUGCCUUAACACGUUGUUGGGUGUAUGUGUCGCCUCAUGCUUAGCUUGGAUGCCUCCCAUAUUUCAGGACAUUCCACUUACCCUGGUCAACAUGUUCUUUUGCACUUUUGAUCACACUCCAAAAAAACAGUUGUUUUCCUUUCACGGCGCAUGGGAAAAACCUUGCUUGUUUAUUAUUCAUUUUCUUAAAAUAUGAAGCUUGCAUUUGAAUUUGAUAUAGUAAGUCCAUCACACAACAAACAUAGUAGUUUUUAUAGAAAUCAAUCAAACAUACAUAAUAACACAACAUGACCAUACAUAGGGAGGUGAGGGAAUUGGAUUCCUUCUCAUCGAUUAUUUAAAGCAACAACACAACAACGACGAUGACAUUUUUUAGAUGGAGACACUGUUGGGAAUGCCUCUGGAAGUCAAUCCUUCCUCACUAGUAGGAUAAAGCAGUGUAUAUGGCAUCUUCACAGGUCCAUUUCGAUUCCUCAGUGUCUCAUCAUUGUUCCUUUGAAUGAGGUUUUUCUCGAUUUCAGCCAACUUCUUUCCAAACUUCUUGUAGGCCUGUUUUGGUUGUGAAUCAGAAGUCCAGAGAUCACCUUCAAUUCUCUCUCCAAGGUAUUGUUCAUCAGAAGCAUGCCUUGACAAGACCUCUAAGAUGGUCAAGUUAGUAAGGGUAUCAUUCUUUGCGGUGAUUGUCCUCAAAUAAGUCUUCUGGUAGUCCUUAGCAAGCUCAUCAUACUCAACGGAUCCUUUCUCAGGCAUGAAUCUUCUACUUUUUGUUGGUCGGUUAAGGAUAUAUCCUCCAUACGCAUAUUGUCCAAAAUUAACAGCUGCAUGAAGUGCUGAAGCAAUCCAUAUGAGAAUGGUGCAAGCUUCUUUCAACUCCGUACGGUUUUGCAUCUUAAACCACCAUGUUGCAUUCCUAAAGUCACCAUGACCCACCUCUACAAGUUCUUUCCAAAAUGCUUGGAGUUCAGAAUCUUUCACAACAUCUGCAUCAGACUUGUAGUAGAAAUUCACAUAUUCAUCAACCCAUGACUUAAUAGCAGCCCAUAUCUCUAGUCCAUCAGAAGCAUAAGGAUAGUCCUCUAUCAGAAGUCGAACACCAUGUGGAGAAGCUGGAUCCUGAACUGCCACUCCUCUAAUUAACAUGCAAGGAAGAUAAAAUUAUUACUUAAAGUGAUACUAAUGAUCAUUUUACAACUGUUUUAGAGGAGAUACAAGUCUGUUUAAUAGAAAUAUAAAAGUUAGUUAGAGUUUGUUAUUAGGGCGUUACUUCGUUGAUUUGUAGUUAUUACCACUGAGAAUCUUAGAUGGCACCUCAUGAACAUUAAAAAAAUAUGUUUUAGAUCAAUAUCUUUUUAAAAAAAUGGACCGACCCAAGAUGUACGGUUUUGUAAGGUUACCUUUUGAUUAGAUCAUUAGGAAGUCCUUGCUCGGUGAAAUUCCAAUCCUUGUAAACAACAGCAGACAUUUCAACAGCAUAAUCUCCCCACAAGAAAGUUAAUUCCAUAACACCCCCUGCAUUGACCAAGAUAGUUCGUGCGAGGGAAUUUAUGUUCAUUGUGUCACGGUAGUGUGGAAGUAAAAGUUUAUGAAUAGGGUGAACCACACUAAGAUGCCUAUUUGUUGCUAUGAUGAAUGGCUCAACAACGGCAUGAGUGUUCAACCUGUCACACAUUGAGAUACAUAUAUAUGAAAUUACGCUUAGAUAGAUCAAAUUUAGAAUUUGAUUGUAUAUAUAAUACUGAUUAAUGAAAUUCAUACCAAUGGCUGACAAGUUGGUGGUAGCAUGAGUCAUUUACAACGACAUAAGCCUUGGCAAGGAGCCAAAUUGAAGCUUCAACACCUUCACUUGCAGGCAAGUAAACAUUACUAACAGGACCUAAACUAUCACCUUGAGGGUGUGGCCUACUUAGUUCAAUGGCCAAUGGCUUCAAAGUUCCAUCAUUUUGCAAGAAAAGAAUGGUUCUAGUUGCAUAGGACUUUGUCUCAGUUGCAUUUAUUCUCCUCAAAUAUGGAAUUAGUAGAUCGUGGUGAUCAAGUAUGUACAAUUUAUUGUUUUGGAUAGCCUGUAUGACAAAAUAAAAUUUAGCUAAGUCUAUGAGAUGUCAACCUAAUGGUAAAAGUCGACUUUAUUAACCUCAAGAGGCGUAUUUCAAAUUUUCUCGUGGACGAAAUUCAUUAAUAUCACUUUGCUGAAAACAAAAAUAGAACUAAUCCUUUGAGUAAUAUUGUAUUGUGACAUUACCUGUUCUACUGUGACCCCUCCCAUGUUUGGCUCCAAGUGAUCAAUGGUUAUUGUGCUGGUAUUAUCACCAUAUAGUUUGCUAUCUAACUUGCUCUUUGGUGGAAACUCCUAUAUUAGGUUAAUUACCACUUAUAAAUAUAGCAUGAAAAGUGAACAUGAAAGUCUUUGUUUAAUAUUGUGUACUUGCUUAAAAAUAUUAAACUCUUGAGUUUACCAGAAGUUUUUUGAUGAUAUGAGGAUUCACCCCAGCAAUCAUCUGCCUUGCGAAUUCCUCAUCAGUCAUCCAUGCAGAGUCAUCCACUACACAUUAAAAGAUAAAUGACUUUUAUUUAUAUGUGUUUGCUUGUGCGGUAGAAUAAUGUGUACGCGCGUUAAUGAGAAGCUACAAAUUGUAGCUUUUGUUUUUCCACAGCAAAACUUCCCUCGAAACGUGAAAAAAUAAAGCUUGGCCAUCAUUCCAAACAUAUACUUAAUUUAUUGUUAGGGCUAAGAAUUGUAACUAAUAUAUACCUUGAACCACUUUCGGUGGUGGAAACUUAAGUACAGCUUCACCAUCAGUUCGAAAAAGUUCUUUGAACAAUGGUAUUGGGCUAAUCUGGCUUAGUACAUCAGUAGGAAGCUUAAUUCCACCAUCGUAGAGAGAGCGUAUAUCUUCAAAGGUGUUAAACUCAGGGUUAUUGAGUUGUAAUGUAGCUUUAGAUCUCAAAUUAGGUAUGACUCUGUGAGUUGCUGAUUUGAGUACAUAACCAAGAAAGUCAGAUGACUUCAAGUGACCAAAUGAUUCAUCUCUUGGAACGUAAAUAGCGUCACUUCGACUCUCACUCUUAGGAUCUGUUCACAUGUAAGAGUAAAAUGUUUUAGCCACAAUACCAACAUCUUUAUAAUUAAUUUAAUUGUGAUUAGUCUUGGUAGUUUUGGCUUAGUUUGAUGAGAUUACUUGAAAUGCAAGUAAUCUAGCUUUAUGCUUUCUAACUUGAAAGUUAGCUAUAAACAAGUUGUCCUUGUAUCAUUAGAAAUAAAAUGAAAUCCAUAUUUCACAUUACAGUUUCACACUGCAGUACCCAUAUCAUUGGAUUUGUACCAAAUUACCUUAAAUAUUACUGCAAAAGAACUAUAAACAGUCACAGCUGUUUGGAGCCUAACCUUUUUUAGAUGGUUUUCUGCCGGUUCUUCCCCUUCGAGGGUAAGGCAAGUUUCCAGGUCCUCCAGCAACAGGACGAGCCAAGCUAGCUUUCUGGUCGGGAUCACCCAAGUCAUUGUAGACAUCAUAAUCAUAUAUUCUGUCCCAUUCCUUGCGCUCUCCCGUUCCAUCUCCUCUUAAAGUCUUCAAUUCUUCUUGUCUGUAGUACACUAAUGGAGCUGGUGUUGCACUUGGAAGGUAUGUCUACAUAUAUAAUGUCAAGUUUUGGUGUUAACCGACUGGUUCUCAGAAAAAAGGGGUCCUGAUAAUUUGGAGUUCCGGGAGGUAAGUAAAGUUUGAAACAUUUCUAAAACUAAUUACUAAUAUUUGUCGUUACAAAAAAUAGCAAGCUAUAGAAUUUUUAUUCUUACCUUGUUGGCAAAGAAGAUGCGGUCCGUUUUGUACUUUUUAGAAUUGUGAAUCCAUGAGUUGCAAACAAAGUUGAUGGUUCCAUGGUUUGGAACAUCUUCAAGUGUCAAACUCACAAGGAAGAAUUCACCUUGCAUAUAGUUAUCAAUAUAAAAAGCUCCUGGAAUUCCCAUGGUACUGUCCCAUUGAAAAUGAAUACUGAAAGCAGAUUGCUUGUCCCCCAAUGUUGGGAGGGAGGUAAGAAGACCUUCCAGAAAUGUUUCCUUUCCCACUUUUCCUUUUCCAGUUCCUAUAAAAAUGUCAAAAAUUGGACUCUUAGUUUCACUAAUGAUGAUUCUUAAAUAAGUAACACCUUAAAAGGAAAAUAUAUAAUUUCAAUAUUUUAGUGGUUAUAGUAAGGGAUUAUUUAUGACAAAACAAAAGGGAAAAUAAGGUAAAUCUUAAUGAACUGAGAGGUCAGAAACUCCUCUAAAUUAUAUAAGAUAAAAUUUGCAGUAGAUAAAACAGUGAGUAUAAUUCAUUUCUUUUUACUCUUAAUUUAAGGUCACUUAUAUCAUAUCAUGAUCCUUAAAAUUUAUAUUAGAGAAGACAAAGUCAUGUAAGUAGUGGUCGGUACAAGAGAUCAUAGAGGUAGAAAAAGAAGCAAUUUUAAAUAGAAAAAGAUGAGUAGAAUUUCCAAUUUUAAAAAUCUCUUUAAGAGAGAAGUUCAAAUGUGAAGAAAUAAAGAUAAAAUUUUAAAAAACUUAUGGUACAAGAUGUAAUUCAAAAAAUUCAUGUGGGGAGCAUAUGCACCCCCUCACUCACAUUUUUUUUUUACAGGGUACAUAGAUCCAUUUAUAUACAUCAAACGCGUCAACGUCAAAAAAUAUUAAAUUAUAUGUAUUUUAUGUAUGUACUUCUUCAUUUUACAAACCAUAUAUACUUUAAUCUACAAUGGACAUCAAUUUUUUUUCUUUUAUGAGGGAGUGCUUCAAGAUAAUGAUCAGAUUUAAACGGGAGGUUGCGGAUUGAAUGAAGACGUUGAUCAUUUACUUGUUACGUUAGAUGUGUUUUUUUAAGCAAUAUUUGGUCUUUGGUUACAAAUUGAUUAGGUUUUAUUACAUUGCAUCAAGCUUAUAUAUUUUGGCUCAUUAUGAUAUGUUUAGGAGCUUAGGUGGUUUCUCUAACCAAACUCGUUUAGCUUUCAAGAUCAUUUUGCUAUAUUGUGUUUGGGUCAUAUAAGAGGAAAGAAAUAAGCGACGUUUCAAUAUGAGGAGGAUACUUUGCAAUCUUAUAUGUGAAAAAAAAAUUAGAUACAGUCAUAUUGGGGUUUGAAAGCAAAAUAUGUUGCUUUUGCUUUUGAUUACAAUUAUUGGUCGUUUAAUCCCCUUUGGUGUUUAACAUAUAUUUUCUAGUUACUUUCCUAGAUGGUUUUCUUUUCAAUGUUGAUUUUAUUUUUGUUGUAAUGUUGUAAACACUAUUAAAGUCUUCAUCUUGCACUCCUUGUGCGAGAUAGAUUUGUUUGGUUUCGGUAGUAUAUUUCAUUUUGCCUUCUUCAAAAAAAAAAAAUUAUGUAGUAAUUUUUUUUAUUCCAAUAGUGUUAUUUUAAUAUAAUUUUAUCAUUUUUUACCUAACCAAAUGACUAAAUUAUUUUAAAUAGUUACAUAAAUUAUUUCAUUUUUUUUUUUUAUUGAGAAGAGAGGGUGACAUUUCCGCAUCUGUCAAGUAAGGAUCUUAAUUUUUUUCUUGUUUUUUAUUGAUUUCCUUCAACGAAGGUGAUUCAUCCAAUUAUACUCUCUCGAUCGAGAUUCUAACUUUAUUCAACCCAUUUGCUAGAUCCAACUUCUGUCGGUGUACACAUUUUUAAAAUAAGUUUUAUUAUUUAAUCAUUUAUACACUAAAAAUAUGAAAAUUAAAAUGUCUCUUUCUUGUAAGAAAUAAAUAUUUUUGACUUAUAUAGUGAGAAAGAAAGAAGCUAUUACCAUCAGCAGUCGUAGCACUAAUCAACUUGAGAGCCACAGAACGGCCCAAGAAUGAAGUGGCAGUGUCAAUUAUAUUGCCAGCUACAUCACCAAUAAUACCUAUGGCACCACCAAUGAUACCUGUAGGGUUAUUAGUUGCAGUUAGGGCAUCAAUGUCCAACGCAUUCUUUUGCAUCAACACCACAGUUCCCUUCAACUUUUGGCCUCUAUCAAAGAGACCAGUUACCCCUGAAAACAUCUUUGAAUAUGCUUUAAAUAUAUUACACUAUAUUUGGUAAAUGAAAGAAAUGCCUGUGUCUUGUAACCAUGGGGGUGCUUAGUAUCUAUAGUAGUUGAAUGGGAUUGGAAUCUCAAGGUUAGUCUAAAAGAGAUGAUUUCUUUUAUUCACCACUAGUAAUUAACAACACGUUUAAAUGCAAUUGAGGGUCACGUGGUAAUUUCUUUUUCUUUCUUUAUAAAAAAUAAUGCAAUUGGGUUGGUCACAUGCUAAUUUUUUAUUUAGCAUGCUUAUCUUGAGGCAUGUAAAAUAAAGACAUAUCCGUUGGUUGUUGCAUUUUAUUUCGGUUGUUACAUGUGCCAGCCUAGGUUGUCACUUUUUAAAUUAAUUUCACUAUAUUGUUGCUAAUUUUGUAAUAGGAAAAAAAUUGUUUCGUAUUCGUAUUUUUGUUAAAUAAUGUUGUUUUCACAUGGGCAAAGCUCCUUGCAAAUUUUCACGUGCAUAUACUCGUAUGAAACUUCAUUUAAAUACACUAAUGAAUUGUUAAAUCAACUAAACUAAACUGUUUUCACAUGGGCAUGCUCCUCACAAAUUUUGGUUCAUAGCCACUUUCCAAUAGGUUGGUUCAAUAUUUCAUUCAAUAAAGCACAAGAUCUAAAUCAUUAAGAUAUCCAUGCAGAUGAGAAGAAGACGACCUAGUGGAAGUCGACGGAAAGAACACAUUAGGGUGGUGGCAUUGCGCCAAAACAACACAAUGGUCAAUUUGCUAACUUAGACCCAUUUUUAUUUUAUGAGAAAUAAUUUGAGGGGUAAUUUAGUUAUUUUUCAGAUAAAUUAGGAAAUGGUUGUUGGAUGUUUUUUUAUUGAAAAAUAAAAUAAAAUGAAAUUUACUAAACUAUCCCUUACUUUAAAUUGGUUUACACUAGGGGAUAUUGGUCUUUCGUCAAAAUUAAAAUGUACAUUUUUGUUAACUUCGACCUUCCUAAACUCAUUUAAAUAAUCAAAUAAUUAGAGAGGGCGUUACAAUUCCUCGUGUCGUCAUAGGAGUCAUGCUCAGUUACGUAACGGGAUGGGGAUGUUUAUGUGUUUUAUUUUUCCAUUGUUACGUAUCUUUCUAUAACUUGAUGUUGGACCACUUUUAGGUGAAUUUUAUUUAUGUUGUUGAUGUUGAGGCCUUAGUGCCAAGUAUUGUUAAAAACAUUGAAUAUUUUCCGCUGCGACUUUGUUUUAAUUAUUGGAAGAAGUUACUUUUAAUAGAGAGUUGAUUUUAACUCUAUUUACAUUUAAUGAUAUUUUGAAGAACGAAAUGUGACAUCCUGUUGUGAUGAACUCUGAUUUAUUUUAUAUUAUUUAUGUGUUGGGAAAACGGGGUGUUACACUCCGACCUAAAGCAAGCGCCAGCUACCAAACUUGUAACGCCCUCUUUGAAUUAUUUAAUUAUUUAAUUGAGUCUAUAAUUUAUUAAGAAGAGUUUAUAUUAUAUUUAUAUGAUAUGUGUGAUUUAUGAGGAGUUGUGACUUAUUUUAUUGUUUAAUAAGAUAAGAUUUGAAAAUAAAAUAAAUAUUGAGUUGAGGGGUUGUUUUGAGAUUUUAGAGAGUUUUGGGGGAGAAAGAGAAAUAAGAUAAAGUAGAUGGAGGAGAUAUAAAUAGGAAAGACCUAGUUUAGAAAAACGUACGUACGAUCAGUUUUUGGAGAAAAGGGAGAAAAAGCCAAGAGAAGAGUGAAGCACCAAGAAAGCUGCGAUUUUUGUUAUUAAGGUAAGGGUGAGACUAACAUUCAAUUUUAUUAACCUAUAUAAUUCUGAUGAUUGUAUUUAGCAAGUGUAGGAUUGAAUUAGAGAAGUUGGAAAAUUAGGGUUAAUGAGAGAAAUUGAGAAUUAAUGGAUGAAAAGUUGUUAGAUUGAUGUAGAAUUUGUUUACAGACCUUAGAUAAGUCAUAAGAUAAUUACAGGAAUCAAUGUUAGGCUUAAAACCAUGAGAAAUAGUGAAUUUUUGUGAAAACUACACUUCUGCCCGAGCCAACAUUCAUCACUCGCCUCCCGAGCUGUGAUCCUCGCCAUAGCGAGUGAUGAACUUCAUCGCUCACCUCGUGAGCAAGUAUUCCCCGCCUCGAGAGUUGCACCUUGCAGCUCGCCAUAUUGAGUAGAUUCACUCACCUAGCGAGUGUGACCAGAGAGGUAUCAUGAUUUCGUAAUUUUAACCUUUAAGGAGAAGGAGAAGAACAUGAAAGUAAAUAGGUGAAAAUAAAAGUGCAGAAUUUUAAAGGACAAGAAUUAAGGAACAAGAAAAAUAAAGACAUUGAUUGAAUAGAAAUAGUUGUCACAGAAAAUUCCUAAGAACCAAGGUGAAUAAUAUGUCUAGUGGCUGCUCUAUUUAUAGCCUAAAAGCUAACUUAAGCCCUAAGAAAAGGCAAAAACUUACAUAGCAAGCAUGUUGAUCUUUGUUGGUCUAAGUUAGCAAACUUCAUACAUAUAUAUAUAAAACUGCUAAUUUAUACUCACCUAAAAAUAUUAAGGAGUAAAUUAGCAACCUACACCCACCUUUUUUUGACCAAAACAUCACUUGUCACUAUUGUAAAAUGGUUUUAAGUUAAAGAUAAUUGUGUAAUUUUGUGUUUAAACAAAAGAUAUCAAUUGCAGUUUCCUCGUACACGUUUUUAAUUUCCCUCUACUUUAAGGAUUGUUGUAGGAACAUGGUGGGAGGAUUUUUCCUCGUACAAUUUCUUAAUUUCUAAAGACACUGCAGUUUUAUAUCAAUUUUUUUUGUCUUUCUUUGUAACCUUUUAUUAAUGUUUAUAAACACAAUUCUCUUGUCCCUGUAAAUUUAACUAAGUUGAUACGAACAUUGCAUAAUAUAUAUAAGAUUAGGAAUUCAAACUCCAGACACUAAAAAAAACACUACUUUAUUUUAGGGGGAAAACACUAGUUGGUGUUCCCAGUUUUAAUUCACGUAUAAAAGAAACACUUAAGUUGUAAGGUUUCUCUUUCAAAAAAACAAAAUAAAAAAGUUGUAAGGUUUCUGUUUUCAACUUAAACAUUCACAUAACCUAAAAUAAUAAGCUAACGGAAAUUAAGGGGAUGUAUUGGAUUAGGAUUCUAUGAGAUUUUAAAAGAUUUUUUAAUUAUGAAAAAGUCUUGUGGUAUUCAAUCAAGACUUUUUGCAACUUAAAAAAAGUCUUGUGGUAUUCAAUCAAGACUCUUUGUCAUUUUAAAAAAGUCUUGAGGUAUUCAAUCAAGACUUUUCAUCGCUUAAAAAAAGUCUUGUGGUAUUCAAAAUCAUUCAAAUUUUGAAGAAUUGUUUAAUAAAUUGGAUUUUGUGGGAUUUUGUAGUGUAAUUUUAACAAGAAAAAGUCUUUCAUGAAAAGAUGAGAUUUCUUGAGAUUGUUUUUCUUUUAAAAGUUACGAUCUCUUUCUUCUCCUUCCUCCCUCCCUCCCUCUCCCUAUUCUAUCCUUUCUCUCUUCGUUUCUCUAUCUCUCCACUCUCUCUCUCUCUCUCUCUCUCUCUCUCUCUCUCUCUCUCUCUCUCUCAUCCCCCUCUCUCUCUAUCUCAUAAAAAAAAUAAAAAAUUGUAUUGAUAAUAUUAUGAUAGAGAGUAUGUCGUAAUCAAUGAUCCGAGAUUACCGAGUUUAUGUUUUUAAGUACAAAAAUCGUGUUAACUCUGAGGUAAAAUCAGUUUCUGAUAAAAUUGGAAGGCUUAACGAGUUUGACUGAGUUAACACUCGAUAAACUCGUGUAACUCGACCGAUUUAUAAUGACUGACAUAAUAUUAUUUUUUUAAAGAUUUGUAAGUGCUAGCAUAAUUUUAAAUAUGUACAAUUGAAUUUUGUGGGAAUAACAUUUUUAACAAAUAAAAAAUGUGUACUGAGAAUAAUGUGUUAGAGUGUUUUUUAGUCCCUUAAAAUCUUAUAAAAUCUAUAAAAUUCUUAAAAUUUGAAAAUCAAUGGUAAAAGAAUUUUUUAUUGAUUUUAUUUUUCUUUAUUCAAACGCUAGAAUUUAUUUGUUCAUUAUUUUUAUCAUCCACGCUUGUAAGUUUGUUCUUUUUCCCCUAAAAUUCAUUGAAUCCUUUAAAAUUUUAAAAUCACAUAAAAUCCUUUGAAAUCCUUAAAAGUCAGAGUGAUAAAUCCUUUAAAAUCUUGAGUGAUAAAUCCUUUGAAAUUUUAAAAUCACAUAAAAUCCUUUGAAAUCCUUAAAAGUCAGAGUGAUAAAUCCUUUAAAAUCUUGAGUGUAUAAAGUUUUUUACAUAAAAAGUCUUUUAAAUUCUCACAGAAUCAAUACAAUCUCACACAGUCUUUUAAAAUCUUAAAGACUUUUCCCCUAAGGUUAUUUGUUUUUUAUUGUUUUAAAAAAUAAUAAAGUCAAAUUGGCAAAACUAUCUUUUAAUUUAGGAAUGAUGAAAUUGUGAGUAAAUAACUGCCGACCCCACCGCAAUGUAGAUCUGUGCUGGUGGUGCGUUGAGAGUUGUUCUCCACACCACCGUCGCACCCUUCUCCCGUCAGCGUUCUCUUGGACUUGCGCUGUCAUUGCCUCGCCGUCGUAGUUUCGAUGGGUAUCUUUCGGUCUUGUUUGUAGGGUACCGGUUCGAAGUGUCGUCGACGUUGAGAGCUGUUCUUCGAAGGAUUCAUGUCCGGAGGGCGGGGUUGUCGGUCCUCCUCCGCGCCAACUCCUCCCUUUGGUGUGGUUCUGCUCUCCUUUCAACCGGAAUCCUCCCUCUCUGAGGUCGUCACUGCCGUUGCGUACUUUUUGAAGCGUCGUCGGUGCUUUUGGUGGUGAUAGGUUGGGCUGGUUGGUUCGCUUCCUGGUGGUGGUUGACGGUUUCUCGUUGGCGGGUCGUUGGCUGAUUCCGGUGUUGCAGAUUUGUUUUUGUGAUUGCUGUUGUUUCACUACCAUUGAUUCAGAUCUGCUGUAACGAGGGUUCGUUUGUUUUCGUUGGCGUUUUGUGUUUGUUGUGGUGCUGUUUUGUGUUGUGUUUGUUUUUUUUUCCUCUUUGUUGUUGGUUAUUUUUGGUUAGUUGUGUUUGGGUGGUGGUGUUCUCUGGUCCUGUCCAUCUGUGCGUGUUCUUGUUGAAGCGAUGAAACACAUGAAUAAUAUAAAUAUUCAAGAAAUAUACGCCACGUCAUCAACAAAAUCCAAACAACAGACAUAUAAAAAUUCUCAACAGUUGCAGCGGAUAUAAACCACACACUUCAAAAGAAUACAUGCCAUGAAAUCAAGAUACAACAUCAUAAAAGUUCUCCAAAUCCCGACAAAUGGGCAAAUCUCCACAAUGUAAAUAAAUCCAAAAUAAACAAUCUAGAAUAAUCAUAAGACAGACAUCCUAGAUCAAAGCCGAGCCUAUCCUAAGACUCUAAAGAAACGAUAACGGAGAUAGCUCCCACUAUCCAAGCAACUCACCAAAGCAACUAAUCUUGCACUUCGUCUACCCAUCCAUACAGACAUGUAGGCGGUCAAAACCAUGGGAGGUAAGCUUUACAUCAAUCAUAAUCAAUAAAACAAAUUUGAACAUAUAUGAAUUAAAUCAAGUUCCAAGUACUUAACAUGAGCAUUCAAUUCAAUAUACACCUUCACAUAGCAAUUUCAAAUAUCACGAAUAAGUACUCACCAAGCACACUUAUCAUCAACAAUUACGACUCAUGUCAAAUAUGCUAUGCGCCUAAUUCCGACACAUACAUGCAUGUGGUACCAUUCAACAACAAGAAGCCAACCCCACAUCUUAUGUAAGAGUACACCUCCUCUUACAAACAACUAUGUAAAAGUAUACCUCGUUUUACAUUUCUCAUAUGACUCGAUAUGACUAUGAUGCAUGGACAUACAAACAAAGACUCAAUAAUGCAAACUACUCAACAUAUACAUACACCAACACAAUGUAAAAGUACACCUCCAGUUACAUUAAUCAACUUCAACAACAAUUGCAUUAUCAAGUAUUUACGCCCACACAAUCAACAUGUCAUUAUUCAAUUAAGAGUCAUCACCAAAAUAUCACAAUUCAUCAACAUGUAUUCAUUAAUCAGCUUCAACUAUAUCAUAUAGUUCAACAACUCCAUACAACUUCUCAUAAUACAAGUAAAGGAGGAAAAUACAACACCUUAUGAUAAACAUCAUAUUCAAGACCUCGCAAUUACUCACAUAUCUUCAUUCAAUCAUAUAAAGCUAUUCACAAAAGAUUAUAAGGUAAAUGGCUUUAAAGAAUCGUUUUCGACAAAGUCCGUAUCAAGUGGCGAAACGGCCAACAUUGAUAAUUUUCAAAACAAGGUAACUUAUUCAAGUUUGGAAACUUACAAAUCAAUUUUAAUCAAUCAUGUAGUCAUGAAUUUAAGCCACUUACGAACUAUCAAACAUUAGUUCAAAGAUUAGCUUAAGUUCGUAUGAGAAAACUCCAAGUUCACAUAAUCCGUAAUCCCACCCGAAAAGUUGAUCCAAAUUUCGGUUCAAAUGGGUUUCACAAAACGACAUCUAAACACAUCCAAUCCAAUAAUAGUUACGUUUGUGUGAUUUUCAAUUUUUUGUAUCAAUUUACGAUUUUAUAUUGGUUCAAUUUGAAUUUGACCCUUAAAAUGUAUGAUGCAACCAAACAAAAGACGUUAGGGGCUUAUGGGAAAAACCUUGCUUGUUUAUUAUUCAUUUUCUUAAAAUAUGAAGUUUGCAUUUAAAUUUGAUUUAGUAAGUCCAUCACACAGCAAACAUAGUAGUUUUUAUAGAAAUCAAUCAAACAUACAUAAUAACACAACAUGACCAUACAUAGGGAGGUGAGGGAAUUGGAUUCCUUCUCAUCGAUUAUUUAAAGCAACAACAAAACAACGACGAUGACAUUUUUUAGAUAGAGACACUGUUGGGAAUGCCUCUGGAAGUCAAUCCUUCCUCACUAGUAGGAUAAAGCAGUGUAUAUGACAUCUUCACAGGUCCAUUUCGAUUCCUCAGUGUCUCAUCAUUGUUCCUUUGAAUGAGGUUUUUCUCAAUUUCAGACAACUUCUUUCCAAACUUCUU
rnacentral:lncRNA from 1 species